GAUCGGAGGUCAAUAAGCUCAACCUUCUUCCCUUGAUCGUCCCCUUCCUGAAAUGAGAGCCGCCCUCGUCAGUUAUGAUAAUUGGUUUUCUAGGUUUCUAUAAUUCUGACUCUCAUGUCACAUAAUGGCUUUUAUAUAGAGUCCACAACGCCCGUGAUGGAAAAACCACCACCCUUGUGAUGCACCCACUAUCACGCCCGUAAUCUACUGGUGGCCACGGUCGUGAUGUGCUAGUGGUCACGCUCGUGAUGUACUGCUGACCACGAUCGUGAUUUCCCUUGCAACCACAACUGUGAACUCAUACCAACUCGAGGACCGACAGUCAACCUGAAAUCGGGUUGUCAACCUAAAAGAAGUGGUCCAACCCCAGAUGUAUAUAAAGCAAUGAAGUAAUAACAUGUGCUCCACAUUUUAACAUUUCUCUUCGAUAAGCCUUCCAUGUUCUGGAACUCGAGUAUUCUAUUUCCACGUAGAAGUUCUAUUUCGUUGGAAUCUGGGUCUAGACGCACCGUUGUCGUCGAUAGAUGCAAGGAGAAAUGGGCACCCCCACAUACCAUACACGAUUCGGGUUCGGGAGAUUAUGAUUUGAGAGAUUAGGGUUCGCGAGAUUUGGGCGUGGAUAGAAAAUUCAAUGUUUAGGGAUUAUGGUUUAAUGCGUUUGAGGCGAGGAGAUUAUGGAUUGGAUUUUGACAUAAGGAGCAAUUUUUUUAAGGUUAAAAUGUUAUAAUUUUGUUUGUACCAUUUGUUGACUUUGUAAUUGGAUGCUUCGAAUCUAUCAUAUGGAAGCCAAUUUGAUAGACAUCUAAAAUGAGUUAAGUAGAUGACAUUUCAAACCUGUACCAUAAAAACACAGAUUUCUGAAUAAGUUAGGCCUCUUGUAAUCUUUAAUCCAAAUUUUAAUAAUUCUUCGAAACUAUAUUAAUAUCAUCCAAUAAUUAGCUAUUCAAACUCUAAAAUAGGGAACUAUCUCAAAUAGUUAGCUAUUAGAUGAUAUUAUAAUCAAUAUCACUCAUGGCAAACAUCAUGAUUCGGCUCAAAACUGAAGAGACCUUUAUAUUCUGCCAGGAAGAAAAUGAAAUGAGCCCACAGAAACUCUAGCAUUAUGAACAUGUACAAAUUAUAACAGUUGUAAGCUACCAAUAUCACCAUCCACUUCGUACGUAUUGGUAAAUAUUAAAAAUCUAGGGAUAAUGGUCAUUUGGCGCCUUGUACUUUACCCACUUGGUGAUUGGCCCCCCUAUAUUCUAAAAUUUUCUAAUUACUCCCUACACUAUGGUCAGUUAACCAAUUGUAUCCUCCCGCUAGAUUUUCCGUUCAAAUCAAUUAAUAAUUCUGUCAAAUGCUGAUGUGGCAGGUGUCAGUAUCCAAGUCACAAUAUAUAAGAUAAAAAAUUAAUUUCUAAAAUAAAGAAAAAGCUAAUCCCCACUCGAACCCUAAUCCAAUUCCCAACCUUGAUGGACCAAUCCCAACUUUUAUGAACAUCUUCCAAAUCCAACCAAAUAAAAAACUAAUUGCAGAGCUGAGUUUUUGACGGAUAUUUUAACUGAAGAGAUGUCAUCGUCGGAGAUGGAGAUAGAGAUGGGGGCUAGAGCUUACGUCGGAGAUGGAGAUGGUGUUCGGACCCUUCCUUCUUCAAAUGGCUAGACGACCUCCAUCUCUUCUUUUUCCUCAUUCUCCUUUGAGUUUGAGUUAGCUUAGUCCGAGACAUGGAACUAGUACAUGAAAGCAAAACUCGAGUACAAGGAUUUGUACGGUGCUGAGUACAAAAUGAAGAAACAAACUAGUAUAUUAAAACGGAGUACAACAAUAACAAGUAGUCAAGACAUAUAAAGCGAGUACGAAACAACUGAAACAAGUACAUCAAAAGUGAGUACACAAUAAUAGAAACAAGUACAUAUCUACUCAUGUUUAUUUGAAGUUUCGUUCUGUUUUCAUGUACUUGAUUUUUCUUGUACUUGUUUUUGUACCUCCCUUUGUACUCGAUGUACUUAUCAUUUCUUGACUAUGCACUCGUGUGUACUUGAUUUUCACUCUAUUGUACUCGAUUAUGGUAAUCAAAUAGUCAUUUAUUCAAGUUGUUCUUCAGUACUUGUUUUUGUUGUUGUACUCGCUUUCUAUGCACUUGUUCUUGUUGCACUCGUUUGUUUCUUCACUUUGUACUCAAUACAGUACAAAUCCUUGUACUCGAGUUUCGUGCCUUGCAGUGUUUAUUUUGAAUGUCGUAUUAUUUUCAUAUACUUGAUUUUUUCUAUACUUGUUUAUGUACCUGCCUUUGUACUCAAUUUUGUUUGAUGUACUUAUCGUUUCUUGACUUUACACUCUUCCAUACUUGAUUUAUACUCUACCGAACUCGAUUAUGAUAAUCAAAUAGUCAUUUCUUCGAGUUAUUAUAUACUCAUUUUCUAUUGUAGUUGUUCACAUGUUGUUCUAGUACUUGUUCACAUGCAUGUUCUUCUAGUACUUGACCUUUACUGUGCUGAGUCGCAUGACGAAGACUGGGGUGAAUUUUCACUCUAACAGAUACGACCUCAAUUCAAAACACAAAUAUGAGAGAGAAAAAAUGUCAAUUUUACNNNNNNNNNNNNNNNNNNNNNNNNNNNNNNNNNNNNNNNNNNNNNNNNNNNNNNNNNNNNNNNNNNNNNNNNCUAAAACGAACAAUGAGCGACCCAAAUUUUUUCUUGCUAUAAGCAAAUAAACAUUUUCUUCUUAUUGCUAACCGAUCAUAAUAUUGGGAUAAUUAAACAAUUUCACAAUAUAAAAUGCCAGUCAUCAAAAGGGUAAAGUACAGGGUGAAAUGACCAUUAUCCCAAAUAUCUAUUAUUAUAUUAUAAAAGUAAAAAUAAGGCUAAAUAUUCAAAUCUAACCCUAACUUUCAGCAUUUUAACAAAUUUAACUUAAACUAUUUUAAAUCUUAAAUUUACCAUUUAACAUUAUUACUCUAAAAUUUCUAUCGAAAUUAACGGAAAUUUAAACACCAAUGCUAAUGUGCAAUAUAUAAUAUAAUUUGGCCCUCUUAAAUAAAUAAAAAAGCUAAAUUAAAAUAAGUCAAUAAAAAAAUUAUUUCACCUCCACCUAAACACCGCCGCUUCCAUUUUUCAUUGGCCUUGUUCGUCGACUCCGUCUCGGAUUCCAAAUUUCUCUUCCAAAUGAACUAUAAACCUCUGUCGGAAAAUUUACUCACUCAUUACCAACCAAUUCAUACAUCUUUCUAUGAAUUACGUACUGGUGGAUAUGGGGCAAACGAGAAAAUAACUAGGGAUAGAUUGAUGGAAGAAGAUUGAUUUAUAAUGCCCAAGAAUAGAUUAACGGAAAGAAAAAGAUUAGGAUGAGCUCAAAGAAUAAGAUUGGACUACUGGGGGACGAGAAGUAGAACGACGAUAAUUUUUUUGAUUAUUUAAUAAAUAUUUUUUGUUAUUUAAUUCAUUUAAUUUAUUAAUUUUGUUUUCUAAUUGAAAGUAUGAUGUAGCAUUGAAUGUGAUAUUUAUUUAUUUAGUUUUGCCUGCUUGUCAUUAUAGAUAUUAAAAAUUUGACAAAAAUUUUAGUCAACGAACUAAAAUUAACUAAAGAUCAAAAUUAUUGGCUAAAAUGUUGUCAAUAAAAUAAUUUGAACUAAAUUUAUCAAUUUGUUCAAAGUUAGUACUAGAUUUGGUAUUUAGUCUAAAAACAAAAAAACUGUAGAAAGAAAGGAAAAGAAAAGAAUUUGGGUAGAAAAAAAAACAGAAAAAUGAGGGUGAGCGGCGUGGACUUAGUCAGUCUUUACUGAUCUCUCCCUCCUCCUCGAUUUGAAGAUUCUCUGUUUCUCACCGGCCUUGGAGGAGCUCCAAUUGCAAGCUCGAAAAUGGCGAAGUCCAGCGUCGACGAUUCGGAACUACGCAAGGCCUGCGAAGCAGCAAUUGAAAGCACCAAGCAGAAGGUCGUGAUGUCGAUCCGUGUCGCCAAGAGCCGAGGUGUUUGGGGCAAAUCCGGCAAAUUAGGCCGGCAGAUGGCUAAACCCAGGGUUCUUGCUCUCUCCAGUAUGUCUGACUCCCUCUUCUUACAUUGGCCAACUUGCGAUUGCUUAGUUUCGCUAUUGUUCCUUGACACUGUUGCAAUCUUAUCUUUGCUUCGCUUCGCUUCCUGGCAGCAUGUUACGGGCUGUGAGUGAAUUUUAAAUUGGUUAGUAGUAGCUGUAGUACAAACAAUAGGCAAGCUUUUAUGUAAUUGAAAAGUCCUUCAACAUUGCUGAAUUUGUAGUUGGAUCGCUAAUAAUGAGUUUAGGAAUUAUGGUUAGUAGCAUUACGCUAGCUGAACGUGUACAUAUCAGGGAAGAUGAAUCACUAUACUAUUUUCCUGUUCGACUGAGAGACUAUCUUUAACAGCAGCUGUUUCAACUAAUUUAAGACCAUCAUCAAUGACUGCCUUCUAUAUAUUCCAGCUAAAGAAAAGGGUUCGCGCACAAAAGCAUUUCUUAGAGUAAUGAAGUACUCCACUGGUGGAAUCCUUGAGGUAUGUGCACUUCCACUUAAAUUAUUCAUUUCUAACGUUGUGUAUUCAUUGAUCGAACCUGGUUCCCUGAAGUUCAUUCCCGAGAAUAAUUGCAAUUCAAAUAUAAGACUUGAGAUAAUGCCGUGGACCUUGGAAUUCAAAUAUCUUUACUUACUGCUCCUGCUGGCUUCCUUAUUUGGACAGUAGCUGACAAUCUAAGACUUUGUAACUUCCAUAAUAUGGAAACUGAUGCUUCCGUUCCUGAUCAACAACCAAACUAGGCACUUUACUUGUUUCAUCUUCCAUCCAAAUGGUUGUUAAAAACACAGUUCAUUUCGGAGAGAUGAAGUUACAAUUCUAUGUUCUCUCUAUGUUUUCAAGAAUAACAAAAUCACUUCCUGACAUCAAAUUCGCUUGUAAAUUGCUUUAAGAUAGCUGCACAAGUAACUGUUUGUCCUUGCAAUCAUUUAUACGUUUAUAAGUAUUUUUCUUGCCUCAAUGCAGCCAGCAAAGUUGUAUAAGCUCAAGCAUCUUUCAAAGGUGGAGGUUGUAGCUAACGAUCCUAGUGGAUGUACAUUUACCUUGGUAUUACCUCUUAUUUCUUCAUUCUGGUCUACCUUCAGACUUUUUAGAUCAAUGCUUUGGUUGAAUAAAUGGUUGGGUUGUUACACGGUGAUCACAGGGUGAUCAGUACUUGAAGCAAAUUUGUAAACUUUUGCUCCUUUAAGAUUUGUCUAUAUCCUUCUUUGAUGGAAACUUCUAACAAACUGUUUUUUCCCAGGGAUUUGAUAAUCUCAGAAGCCAGAGUGUUGCUCCUCCCCAAUGGACAAUGCGCAAUGUCGAUGAUAGGUAGGCCUGUCUGCAAAUACCACAUUCAGCCCAGUUAUUGAGAAAAAUAAGGUUCCCAAAGAUUCCAUCUGACUGGAAACUUAUUUGCAAUUGUUGUUUGUAAACUUUCUGGCAGGAACCGUCUUUUGUUUUGUAUCUUAAAUAUCUCUAAAGAAGUUCUUGGCCGUCUUCCUAAAGUUGUUGGCUUAGAUGUUGUAGAAAUGGCUCUAUGGGCUAAGGUGUGCAUUUGAACUUUGUGCUUUCUCUCACAUUUUAGAUCUUCUAUUCUUUGUAGUUCCUUAAGAUAUUAUAUGUGAUCCUCAAGUGUACUUCUGGUGUAGGAAAAUACAGGUACCGUCACAAAGCAAAGGGCACAACAUGAUGGCCCUGUUGCUGCUCACGUGGAUGAAGGUGACAUGGAAGUGACUGUUGAAAAAGAACUCGUUUCCCAAGCAGAGGAAGAAGACAUGGAAGCUCUUCUCGACACGUAAGUACUUCAUCCAUCCUUCAACAGCUAGUCAAACGGAAUAUUUGUUUGUAAGAAAUGAGGUCAGAUGGCAUGAUAUAGAUGAAAUUAUCAGACUCGUGUCUAUCAAAUUGAGAUGGGAAGAUUCCUUCAUGGUUCUGCAUCUAAGCACCUUCAUUAAGUUUACUGAUUGUUUGUAUGUGGGCGAUCUAUCAUGGAUUUAUUCCUUUAGUACAAUUUUUUUUCAGCUGCAACACGUGCACGGCCUUCUAAUAUCAAUUAUCUUUAUAUUAACUUCACAGCCAAAGAAAAUUGUACUAAAGGAAUAAAUCCAUGACAUAUCACCCACUUGGUCCAAUGACUAGUGAGCAGUUGGCACAAUUUAACAAAUCUAUGCUGACUUUCAUGUUCAUUGAAUUACUUACACAACGUAUCUGAUUCUUGAAGGAUAUGGUAUAUGUAGGCUAACUGUCUGUAGGCUAAGUGCAGUCUUGUCUACGUGUCUUCUAGCCCUCUUACCUUCCCUAUAUUUUGGAGAUUCUUGAUAUAUAUUAAAUAUGUAGAGCUUGUAACAUGUGAUUUUAUGCAGUUAUGUCAUGGGCAUUGGGGAAGCUGAGGCAUUUUCUGAAAGAUUGAAGCGCGAGCUUCUUGCUCUGGAAGCGGCAAAUGUUCAUGCCAUCUUGGAAAGUGAACCUUUGAUAGAUCAAGUAUGUUUCAUGUUAACACCAGGAUAGAGUCCAUAUGUUUGCGCACAUGUGGGAGAGACAAGAGAUGAUACAUAUAUGUUUUUGUGUACUAUAAUUGUAAAUAUUUUUAAAUGGUAGUUUGAUGAUCUUUUUGUUGUGCACUAUUUUUAAAUUUUUAUUCUUAUUUAAGAUUGGUGAUGAUUUCAUUUUCAUGCCCUCAGUGUUUAGGAAGCUUCUGAGUUGAAUUGUCAUAUGUGGGUGUUCCAGGUUUUGCAAGGGCUUGCUGUAGCAACAAGUUGUGUUGAUGAUAUGGACGAAUGGUUAGGCAUCUUUAAUGUGAAACUUAGGCACAUGCGGCAAGACAUUGAAUCAGUAAGCUUUCUUGACAGACUUCCAGUUCUUGCUGGUAAUUAGCUCCCCUGUUCUUUCAUGUUCAAUUUUAUUGCCUGCAUGCUCAAUUGUGAUUAGGUCUCUCUAAUCCUUCCAUUGGAAUGAUGUUUAACAUCAUAUUGAAAGAUAGAAUUGCACCUGACGCUUAUUUGUUUCUCUUCCUUGUGUGUGCAAAACUUAUGUUGAGAAUCUUUGUUAUUAUUUUUUUAUUACUUUCCUUGUUUAGUUAUUAUUGGGGAAGAAUAUUUGUUAUGAGUUAUCUUCGUACCUAAGAUAGAAUUCUAGUUUAGGAAGAAAUGUAAACCUAGUCUAUGUGAGGAGAGGUAGAACUACAAAAACAAAAUUCCUCCGCUCAAUCUGUCCUCUUCUCUCUAUUCUAACCCAUUGUUUUCAGAACCAUCAGUGGCGAAGUCAGGAUUUUGAUCUAGUGGGGUCCAAAUGACAAAGAAAACUUAAAAUUCACCAUUUAGGCAUUUAUAAUAUUCCACAAUAAGUUUUAAACAUGUUUGAAAGUAUUGUAUAAUAAAUAAUUUUUUCACACUACUAAUGACAUCUUUCUCGUUACACAUUGGUCAUAAAACUGUCAUCCAAUCAUUCAUCUCCUAUUUGAUUGCGGACAUCAUUCUCGAUGCAACAUAUUAACAGAAAAAUGUUUUUUUUUCAACUUACAACCAGAAAAAACAACAAUGGUUUAAUAAGAAUUAUACAUUGGGAAACAUAAUGUGUUUUCAUAUAUCAGCCAAUCUUCUUAAAACUUCUGUGAUCACUUGAAUUUGUCAAUAUCAAGCUUCAACUCAUGAAUAUUCGUAUAAAAUUGAAAACUGACAUAUGAUAUACAUCAUGAGCAGAUAAGUCCUUAACAUAAGAUGUAGCAAGUGUAACCGAGUCUUACUUGACAAAUACGACGAGUUUCUAAUUUGCUCAAGUGGGGUCCAAGUUGGUGAGUCUAACGGUAUGUGGUUUAACAACUUAAACCGUUAUUAUAAUAGUUGGAACCGUAAUUAGACCAUAAUUAUAUAGGAAUCGUAUCAAACCAUUUUGCUGAGUGAUUCAAGGUUGGGCCGUCCAGUACGGUUUUGAAAACACUGUUCUUGCCUCUGCUAUUCUUAAACAAGUUGCUACUUUUUGAUUCAUCUGUGUUACAGAGUACAGAUACGGUUAGUUCUUGCAUACUUGCAUCAAAUUGGCUUGUGUCACGUUUUGAUGCCUUUCCUGGUGUGUAGAUAGAAAUCCGCAACAACACAUUGGAGAUGCAGUCUGUUAAUAAUAAAGCUCUUAUUGAAGAACUUGAUAAGCUCGUCGAACGGCUGCGUGUCCCAUCUGAAGUAUGUUGUCUAAUGGUGUCCAUUUAAUGCCUUCUCAUAAUUCAACAUCACAUGGCAUCCAUAAAAUAUUGUGUUUCGCUUUAGUAUGCAGCAUGUUUGACAGGGGGUACAUUUGAUGAAGACCGCAUGCUUCAAAACAUUGAAGCAUGUGAGUGGUUGACUCGUGCUCUCCAUGGUUUAGAAGUACCUAAUUUGGAUCUCAUCUAUGCUAAUAUGCGUGCUGUAUGUUCUCUGACCUUGCUCAUCUUUUUUUAUAUUUUUUGUUUUGCUAUAUUAUAUCAUUUGUGCAGCCCCAUUUUUGGAUAUCAUUCUUGUAAUCAUGUGGUUCUUCUCAAGAGCUGUUUAUGGUCCCCUGUGCAUCCUUAUACCUUUUCUUUUGAAUGGAUGACUGAAUAUUAUUUAAUCCGCAAGACGGAAGAAGUGUCUUUCCGCCAUACACAAUGCAACUUUUUUGCAUUUUUGGAAAUAACAUUCAGCAUUGGAGUCAGAAAGAAAAUGUUAUUUAUCAUGUAUAUUGUGUGCUGUCCUCUCUCUUCAUUGUAUUACUUGUUAUUCAACAUUUAACAGAUCCGUGAGAAGCGAGCUGAACUCGAGAAACUUAAAGCUACAUUUGUGAGACGCGCUUCUGAGUUUCUAAGAAACUACUUCGCGAGUUUGGUUGAUUUCAUGAUUAGUGACAAGAGUUACUUCUCUCAGGUAUUGAAUGUUGUUUUUGAUCUCUAGGUUCUGUAGGUUUUGUUGAGUUUGGAACAUGAACCUUCAAUUAUUGCUUUUAUAUUUGGAUGAAACAGCGGGGACAACUAAAAAGGCCAGAUCAUGCUGAUUUGAGAUACAAAUGUAGGACAUAUGCUCGUCUUCUUCAACAUUUAAAGGUUACGUUUUUAUUUUUGUCUCUCCUUGUCUUUCCAUUUCUGUGUUCACUAGCGUUUACUUCUCUUCUCAUUUAACAAACCCAUUUUGUUUUUCAGAGUCUUGAUAAGAAUUGCUUGGGUCCGUUGAGAAAAGCAUAUUGUAGCUCCUUAAACUUGCUUCUUCGGCGGGAGGUCAGGAGAUGUUCAAAUUUUAUUGCACUUUCCUUUUUACAUAAUUUUUAUAUUUUAGUGCCCAUCUCUGACCAUAUUUUCUCCCGUCUCCGUGUUUGUAAGGAUAAAAUAACUAUUUCUUUUAUUUGUGAACAUCCUACCUUAUUUUUUUUACAGGCACGUGAAUUUGCUAAUGAGCUUCGUGCCAGUACCAAAGCAUCAAGAAAUCCCACUGUGUGGCUUGAACCAUCUACAGGCUCUAACCAAAAUGCACAGACUUCUGAUACUUCAGCAGUUUCGGAGGCUUAUGCUAAAAUGCUCACCAUCUUUAUCCCACUUCUUGUCGAUGAGGUUAUACUCUUGUGUCAGAAUUGUAAAGGUAGUCUUGAUCUUUGCAUAUUAUUAAUUGAAUUGCAUGCCUUAAUAUGCAGAGUUCCUUUUUUGCACACUUCAUGUGCUUUGAGGUCCCUGCGCUUGUUCCACCAGGAGGUGUUGCUAAUGGAAAUAAAGGUGGAAGUUACGACGAUGAUGACGACGAUCUGGGAAUCAUGGACAUUGAUGACAAUGAUGGAAAAGCUGGUACUUGUUAAUACCCCUUCACAAGCCUUUUUCUGUCUCUUUUGGUACCUUCUUCUUUUCAGGUAAUCGUAAUCAAUUUAUUGUAGGAAAAACCACUGCAGAUCUGGCUGCAUUAAAUGAAUCUCUUCAGGAUUUACUUGAUGGAAUCCAAGUAAUGAACUAACCAUCUUGUUUCUUACAUACAAAUAUAUGAGAUAUGAUUGCAUUAUUUCCCUCAACCUUAUAGUGACUAGGCGUAUGUCUUUUGUAAUUCUAGGAGGACUUUUAUGCUGUUGUCGAUUGGGCGUACAAGAUUGAUCCUCUACGCUGCAUAUCAAUGCAUGGGAUAACCGAACGUUAUCUAUCUGGUCAGAAAGCUGAUGCAGCCGGAUUUGUGCGUCUCUUGCUUGGUGAUCUGGAGUCACGAGUUUCCAUGCAGUUCAGUCGUGUAUGUUUUGACUCUGAACAGUUCUCAACCACUGACAUUUUUGUAUUCCCUUAUGCUAGAACGUUUUAACUGACAAAUUUUUCUGCAGUUUGUUGAUGAAGCUUGCCACCAGAUAGAGAGGAACGAGCGUAAUGUGCGGCAGAUGGGGGUCUUAUCAUACAUCCCAAGGUUGCUCCUAACGGAAUUCCUUUAUUUGAUUGUUUGAGAUAAAAGUCACUGUAAAAUAGCAGCAUGGGAAUGAAAGUGAACUGAUCUGAUGGUCUUGAAAUUUACAUCUCCAAAGUUAUUGAAAAUUUUGUCAUCCCUAUGAUUGAUGUGUCCUUUUCCUUGUAGAUUUGCUACUCUGGCUACUCGAAUGGAGCAGUACAUCCAGGGGCAGUCUAGGGAUUUAGUUGAUCAGGCAUACACUAAAUUUGUAAGUACCAGUGGAUAUCUUUAUCUCCAUGUUUCUUAGUACAUUCAGUACAUGAAAUCAUGUUAUUACCACUGUUUUAAUUGAAGUGGUUUUGAUAGGUGAGCAUAAUGUUUGCGACAUUUGAGAAGAUUGCACAAACAGAUCCAAAAUAUUCUGACAUAUACCUUUUGGAGAACUAUGCAGCAUUUCAAAACAGGUGGGCCCUUUCUCUUAAUGGUUCUCGUAAAUUUUGUUUCCUAAAUAACAAGUAUUACAUUAUUGAAUAUUAUUUAUGCUGAUUAGAAGUAGUUGCACGCAGUUUAUACGACCUAGCCAAUGUUGUUCCAACUUUAGCCAAAUUUUAUCACCAGGCAAGUGAAGCUUAUGAGCAAGCUUGUACACGCCAUAUCAGCAUGAUUAUUUACUAUGUAAGUAAAUAUUGCUGCACAUUCUUCAACUCUGUUUCAUUCAUUCUGUAAAGCAAAUCAUGUGUUUAGAGCUUUAACCUACCUGUUGCUUGUUGGCUAACUCGAAGUUGUAUUUGGAAACUGCAGCAAUUUGAACGGCUUUUCCAGUUUGCUCGCAGGAUUGAGGAUCUGAUGUACACUAUAACUCCAGAGGAGGUAAGUUCCGAGAAAAAAAGACAGCUUCAUUCACUCCCUAGUUGUUAGCUAUCCAAGUCGUCCUUGCUGGUCGAAAUAAUUUUGCCUACAAUGCUGUUAAUGGUGUCGUUAGCUAGCUUAGAUAAAUUUGGCCAUUGCUUUUUUUCUCCUUGACAGAUUCCUUUCCAGCUUGGAUUAUCGAAGAUGGAUCUACGAAAGAUGAUAAAAUAUAGUCUGUCAGGAGUAAGUCAAUUGAUGCCUGGCUUAGAUUUUAUUUUGGAAGCAGAAAUGAAAGCCUGAUUUUACUUCUUGGAUACAGGUUGACAAGUCUAUAACCGCAAUGUACAAGAAGUUGCAGAAGAACUUGGCCUCGGAUGAGCUAUUGCCUUCUUUGUGGGACAAAUGCAAGGUAAUACUUUCCUGGGCGGUCUCGAUUUCUCUUCUGGUUGUAUACCCACAUUGUAUAUUGCCUUUUUUCUUUUGGUUUCUAAUAGUUCUCAACAUUGGUUGGUUGUUUAUCGCGGUUUGGUUCACGAUGCUCGUUCAUCUAACCAUUGUUCACACUUUUCAACUUCGGUGCAGAAGGAGUUCCAGGACAAGUAUGAAAGUUUUGUACAACUGGUUGCGAAAAUCUACCCCAAUGAGACAAUCCCUUCCGCUACAGAAAUGAGAGAACUCUUGGCUUCCAUGUAAAAAGAUCCCUACUCUUCAUCAUCUUAUUGUUUCAUUUUGUAAAAAUAGAUGGUUAGUAUGUCGCACACUCACUAUAUAAUGAUCUGUUGGAUAAGUAUGUGAUCGCUGCCCCAUCUCUGUAUUUGCUGUAAUUAUUUAGCAAAGUGUUGCUAAUGCUAAUAUUCCAUAUUCAUUCAGUGAGAUCCUAUCUUUCUAUUGAUUCCUUUUACAAUGCUGCCCAAUUGUAUACUAUCAACCCCUUGAAAAGUAUUUAAUCCUACACAAACCUCCCAUGGUUUAUAGCGUUGGUUGGUGUGACCCAGUUUGUCCUCCAUCUACUAGAUUAUGGUUUAGUGAGAGUAAUUUCAAAACUUGCCUACGUAUCCGUUGCUCACCCGUAACCAAUGCGACUUUCCUCAUUUGACCGGUAUGAUCACCAUUGAUUCGGUAUUGCAGUGGAAACUUUGCCAAAACCGAUUUUUUAUAUAGCCAAGACAUAUUGACUGACCUUUUGUGCAUAUCACAUUCUCUAGUUUCCCUAUUUAAAAGUAUGAAACUCGUGAGAGUAAAUAAGUUGAUUUAGAGGGGAGGGUUCAAUUUGAUUUGCUCCUGGUUCUAAAUUCGAAUGCAAAUCAACUUUGACCUAUUGAAUAAUCAUGGAGUUUCUGGUUUAUUUAUUGUGAGGAGACAAAGUUUUAUUGGACAAAAGCUUGAUCUCUAUAAGAGUAGUGAGUAGGGAACACAUACUUGUCUAUUUUCUUUAUCUCCCUUUCUUCUAAGUUUUUCACUCAAUUAUGCCUCUUGCUGCAUAACAGAUCUAUUUGUAGCCACUCCUCUUAACAUUCAACCUCAAAAUUUUGAAGUAUAUGGAGUUGCACUUGCUCUUAUUGCCCAAGCUUUUAUGGGUAAAAAGCCUCAACAUGUCCCUUACGCUGAUAUUUGCGCCGCAUUUUUGGUCAAGCCUAUAGCGCACUUUUUGAAAAAUUUAGAAAUCUAUCUUUGUAAUUCACCAAAAGUUAGCUAUAGAUGGACCAAGAGUGCGCCGCACUUUUGGUAAUAAAAUUGCGAUUUAUCAACCGUUCCCUUGCCUCCUUUGCAAAAAUUUCACCACCCUCUCAUUUUCACAACCAAAUUACGCCGCAUACCCUCUCUCCAUCGUCGCCAUCACCCUCCCCUCCCCCAGAGGAUCACUGAUCCAGUAGUCAUUCUACUUUGUAUUUUUCUUUCAUUAUUUUCGGAUAGUGUAUCCACUUUUAUUAUGUGUGGGACUUGGACACUUGUCCUAAUCUCUUUUUACUUUUAUUUUCGGUUUUGUGUGUGUGAGAGUGUUUUUUAGGAGUUAGUGUUGCCGUCGAGCUCGGACUUCAUGGAUUAUUCCUCUUGCUUCUUUGGUUUCUCACAGCUUCCAAGUAUUCCUAUGCAACUUUUCUGUUUCGUUUCGUGAGGACACUAUCCAAACUAAGUGUGAGGUGAGUUUGCAUAAGGUUUGUAUAUGCUAAUCUUUUUGGGUCAUUGUCUUUGCAUGUUGAGCCCUAAACUCAAGCUUGUUAGGAUCAUCUUUGAACCAAUAACUUGGCAUGCUUUGAAAACUUCCCUGUGAUUUGUGCACUUGGAUGAUUUACUUGUGAACCUAGAUUUGAUGGGAGUAUUGGCCAAUGAUCAAAGUCUAUUGAUUUGUUCUUUAGAGUUAAUUUGAUGUGUGUAAAGUAAUACGAACUCGCCAACUUGAUGUUACCAGACAUGCAUGUUAUCGAAUAUCCAUCUAGCAAAACAAUGCAAGGCCUAAAAGAUCAUUUUCUAGUAUAGAUAGUCUGCUUCUUAGUAGUUUGCUCUUAAAUUGAUUUGAGUGGUCUUCUCUGUUGGCUAUUAAUCCGGCACUUCCAUGAUUCGAAACUGAAUUCACUUGGUGCUGAUUCACUAGAAUGAUAGAGGAACUUAGAAAAACUCCACACAAAAAUAUCCAUCCUGUCCUUACAUUUUUUCCCAGGCCACCCAACAUAGCCAAAAAGCUUUAAUAAAAAACCCCAAAAUAUCGUAUCCCCUUUCUUACAAACCUUCAUUUGAUCAUGUGUACAUUAGUGGCAUGUAACUCCGUCGAGUCUAGGAGUCAAUAAAGUUGCUAAGUUGAAUAAUUGCAGGAUUAUCUAGUCUCCCUAAGUAGUAGUUUGUGUACAACUUUUGUUUAUUCAAAAAAGAAAAAAAUCUCGAAAAAGGGAAGAGAUAAGAGAAAAAAAAACAAGAUUUGGAGGAAGAAAUAUAAAAAAUGCAAAAGAAAAAAAUGGUAGUAGAUUAGUUAAAUAAAUGAGCAGAACAGCUCGAGGUAGUGGUUGACAUAAGGGAUAGACAAGCUAGUUUGAAACUCUUGUUGAAAAUGGAAUCCUUGCAUCAUGAUUAGUUGUCUUAGUAGUUUAAGUCCAUAUUAGAUUAGACCAAGUCGUCCACCACUAUGUACACCUACCACCACAUUCAUUUCACCUUCUCUUCUCUUUUCUCACCACAUUACAACCUAAAUAAAGACCUCUUGAGUAGUGUUUGAUGUGUCUUGAUGUAAUGAGUAAAAGUAGGUUGAUGUGCAAGUGUUGGAAGCGCGCCUCAGAGUUGAUGAUGAGCACAUAAACACUGUCUCUAAACACUUGAGUGAGUGCUUUCGGCUUCAUCUUUGAGUCGAAUUAUUUUGUGAGUAUCAUGUAUGAUGAUGUGUUGCAAGUUGAAGAACUUCUUGUGAGGCCUUUACUUUCUAUUUCGGUUUUUCUUAGAGGUUCACUUGUAUGUUAAGAAAUUCACAGGUGUAUUAAGCAAUAUGGGUUUGCUUUGCCAUGUUAGUAGUUUGAUUCGCUUGUAGGUGUGUUCCAUAACUAUUAUAAGUUAUUUUCUUGAGGACAAGCAAAAGUUAAGAGUGGGGUUAUUUGAUAACGCUCUAUUUAACGCAUUUAUCGUGCUCAUACCGCCAUUUCGUGCAUACUUGUAUUGUUUUAGCUAGAAGUUUGAGAUGUUUUAUGGACUUUCAGAUUUUAUCUCGAUUUACUGUCUCGGACCUGGUCAGAGUCAAUUUGAUGUCGUUUUGGAGUGUUUUUUUAUAGAUUUCAGGUACAUGACGACAUCAAGGAAUUAAUCAGAUUGAUACGUCAUGCAUAGAUGAUCUAGGACAAGAAAUGAGAAGCAUUUUACAUUUUCAAGGAGUUUGGAUCUCGACUUGGUUAGAAAACGUGGCAGUUUCGUAUUUUGGGCAUAUCUCCUAGCUCAGAAGUCUGAUUAAUGCAAGGCUGGUGGCGUUGGAAAUGUAGUUCAAUUUUCUACAACUUGAGGAAAAGAAUUUCUGUGAUUUUACCAAAAGUGCGCUAUAAGUAUUACCAAAAGAGUGGCACACUUUAGAUCGUCUGUUAGACUUAAGGAAUCAUUCUCUAUAAAAGCCCAACUCGUCCUCAUAAUUCAAAGCCUUUUGGUCGAAAAUUAGAGAGUUUUAGAGAUUCCGGAGCAACAAAAAGUCAUCGACUUCAAGGAGCUUGAAUUGGCAAUGAAGAAUCAUAAUCGGCGAAUCAAGUUCUUCGAAAGGAAUCAGCGAAAUUAGGUUUUUCAUAAUUCUUUGUAAACCUAGAUCAAUGUCUUCUUUCUUUGAAUCUGAUUUGUUCUUCAAGAUUAUGAGUAGUUAAACUCUUCGCGCUUAGAUUAGAUGAAAUCUAGGUGAUUACUUAUGAAAGGAUGAUCGUUUGACUUUGACUAUUUAUGCGAGUUGAAUGGAUUUUGGUUUAUGUUUAAUUUCGUUUCCAUUCUUGUUCUUGUUUGGCCGUCUUGAAUAGAACCUUGUUAAAUUUGUCUUCGUCUUGAAAGAGCUUGCAUAUCUAGAACAUCGAGAUUAACCAACUAGGUGAGGCGUUAACCCCUCAUCCGUGAGCGAAUAAACUAGUCCAUCGUGUAAGCAGUUCUCGUUUGUUUUGUCGCCUAGCGGAUUCUAGAUAUUUGUCUCGAAAUAAAGGAUUGGGAUAGUAGAUAGGUAGCAUAUUACCGGACCCGAAAGGGUGUUAUUUGAUUAGAGAUUGUUUAAAUUGUUAAAUUUGUCUGGGAUCGAGUUGUAUUACUAUUUCUGCAUUCGUCAAUGAACAUAACCUUACUCCAAUUGAUUUUUUUAGGGAAAACCUGGUGCUUUCAUUAAGUAAAAAUUAAGAUAAGUUUGCUUAAGCAUUCACAACAACAACAACAUUCCCAGACAACUCCUCAAACCAGUCUCUCUCUCUCUCGUUAACAUCACCAAGAUUCAUAUGUGCCAAGCAAUGGGCUGCACCGUCAGAAUACCUGUAGAUAAAACUCCAAUAUCUAAUUUCGAUUUGGUUCUUCAGAACUGCAAUAUUCCAGCAAACACUUCCCAGCUCUAACAUGCAAUAUGCAAUUUGCUUAAUCCUUAUCUCCACAAACUUGUUACAAUCUAACUCCACCAACAAACGUCCAAGGCCUUUAUCUAAAGAUUUUUGCAAACUAAAUAGGAUCGCUUUUCCUUCCACAAUAUCAACACUCCAUUUAACAGCCUCCACCUUUCAAGUAGCAAACAAAACAUCAUCAUUCCAAUCUCGGCAGAUGCAACCAAAACCCGUUUCUCCCUGUCAUUUGAUCCAACUUCCAACAUAUGUGUUGAGCUUUAGGAAUCCAAUGGGGGGCUUCUUCCACUUACAAUUUUUUUGAUUAGCUCCUGCAUUUUCCUUACGAUCCUUGCCUUGAACUUUCAAGAAAUCAUGAAUAAAAUCGACAGCUUUCGGAAACACCUCCCACUCCUGUAAAGAGGAGUUAUUAAAAAGGAAGUUGUUUCUUUCCUUCCAAAAGAACCAUAAAAGACCAGCAAACUUACCCAACUCCUCCUUAAAUCCAUCUUUCAACACUCUAAAAUCCAGUUUUUGCAAUUCUCAUUAUUUGAAACAAAUGGGAAAUGGGAGAUCGGUUCCAGAUUGUAGACAUCCAACCAUACUCCAAGAGACAUUCAGGGUUCUGAACUCUCUUACAGAGCUUUUCCAUCACCGGAAAGAUGUUAUCACAGACCUUCCAAAGUAACACUUUCAACUUUCCAGUAAUCUUCAUUCUCCAUAAAUUUUUGCACCUAUCAGACUUCUCUGUUGUACUUCGUGCGCCCUUCCUUCAUUUCAAUUUGCCCCUACAUUCCAAAUGAUAUCCAGUUUUUACAGAAUACCUUCCAUUUUCAGUAUCACUCCAACAAAGAUUAUUAGGUUCGAUGAAAGAUGAGAGUGGAAUAGCUAAGAUAGCUCGUUGUUCAUCUGGAGUAAAGAUGAGUUCCAAUAACUCUCGGUUUCAGGUUCGGAUAUCUUGAUCAAUCAAACAUGAGGCCUUAGCAUCCUAAUCCAAGAAAGGGCUGAAUGAGGAAACUUUGAAGUCUCUCGAUCAAAUUUUCCAUCGAGAACCAUAUUUUAGAAACUCCUGCGCACUCACAAGGCUUUUCCAAAUGUAGCCAAUCUUAGCCUGCAAAAUUGUGCAAUCUGAGCCUGCAAAAUUGUGCAACAGGGAAGUAUUUAGCAUGUAAACAACCUGGCCACCAAUGUAUUCGGAUUUGUAUACAAAUUCCAUAGCUGUUUUACUAGGAUAGUUUUGUUAAAAACUCAAAGAUCUCGAAAUUCCAAGCCUCCUUCCUCUUUUUUCAUACAAAGUUUUCCCAUCUUUUCCAAUGAAUCCGUCGUUCGUUGCCUUUUUGCCUCCACCAGUAGUUAGUGAUUAGAUUGUAAAUUUUAUCAAUAAUCCCAUCCAACACUUUAAAGAACAGGCAUACCAUAAGUGGUUUGAGAUUGGGCAAUGCUCUUAAUCAUAACCUCCUUCCCUCCAUCUGAGAAAAAUCUACUCUUUCAAUUUGUAAGCUUUGCCCUUGCCCUCUCUUUUUGAUUAUUAAACACAAUUUUCUUCGACUUCCCAAUCAUCAUGGCCAAUCCGAGAUAUUUGGCUAGUUUAUCCACCUCCUUGAUUUUCAGCAAAUUGCAAAUAUCAGUUCUUCGAUCAACUGAAACAUUGGAACUGAAAUAGACCUUAGAUUUGUUGAAGUUAACAUCUGCUCCGAUUCCUUUCCAUAAUGCAUUAGGGUUUUCCCCAGCCUUUUAGCUUCUUGAGUAUUUUCUCUAGCAAAACAAUAUACAGUCAUCAACAAAGAGAAGGUGUGAGAUGAUCGACGCUUUGUUGCAGAUUGUAAUUCUAUGAAUCGUUUUCUCACCUUCCUUCUAAUUGAUGAAAGCCGAGAGACUUUCCGAGCAUAAAAGAAAGAGAUACGAGGACAAAGUAUCUUCUUGGCGAAGACCCCUCCCAGGCUCGAAGAACUCGGACUUGUGACCAUUAACUAAAACUGAAUAAAAAUUAGAGCUGAAAAUAUUUUUUAUAAGACGUAUUCACCUUUCAUCAAAUCUCAUUUUUCUCAUAACUUUCUCAAGGAAAAUCCAUUUGACUUUAUCGUAAGCUUUGGCCAUGUCCAACUUCAAAACCAAAUAACCUUUUUUGCUUUUCGUUAUCUUUUUUAUGUUAAAGAAACACUCGAAAUAUGCAAUCACAUCAUUAGUAAUAGAUCUACAUAGAACAAAAGCACUUUCGGCUUCACAGAUCAAAUUAUCAAGAACACCUUUCAGCCUAUUCAAAGUAGUUUUUUAGAGGAUAUAGUUAGCUGAUUUACCUUUGGUCACUAAUCUUUGGGAGAAGUUGGUUGCUUUACAUUUUUGUUCCUUUUUUAUACAAGUCUUUGAGCUCCAAUUCGAUAUUUAUAUACCUGGUCCUCCAAGAAGCAUCUUUGAAAUUGUGUUCAUAUCCUGGAUGUUGUUGAGUAACUAUGUACUUUUUCUAGAAAUGUCACCAAACUUCAUACUACAAUUUUUAACUUUCCGCUUAUAAAGUUUCAGACUGUGGCCCAUAUUUUCCAUUGAAGAGUCGUCCCAACUCCCAAGCACUCUUAUCACUUUUAGCCUAAAAGGCUUCGAACCUGAAGCACUUAUCCAAUUCAGAUCAAUGAGACUAGGGAGGUGGUCUGAAUCAGCUACUUCCAAGUGAAACACCAAGGCUUUGGGGAACAAAUCACACCACUUCUUAUUAGCAACGGUUCUAUCAAGCCUUUCUUCAAUGUGUCCAUGAGGAUUUUGUCCAUUUUCCCAAGUAAAGGGAUAGCCAACAAAUUCCAAGUCCAAGAGUGCACACUCGACCAAAGUUUUAUUGAAACCCAUCAUUUGUAACUCACUCUUUAAUUCGCCACCCGACUUUUUAACUCCUGAACAAAUUUUGUUAAAAUCCACAGCACAUAACCAUGGGUCAUCACUGUUGUCAUGUAAUUUUCGAAGUAAUUCCCAAGUGCGUUUAUGAUUUUCUUGUUCCGACCAUCCAUAGAUAUCAGUGAAGCGCCAUCUAACUCUGUUGCCUUUUUAUGGAACUUCAGCAUCGAAAUGGUUCAGCAAGCUCAAUCUAAUGUCAAGCUCCACACCCUUUUUCCAAAAGAAGCAAAUACAUCCAGAUUAUCAUUUUUCGCAACACCUUCGUUAUGUUCGAAACCGAAAUCAUACCUCAACUCUUCCAUCUACUCGUAGAAAAUUUAUCUACAUAAGAAACAAAACAAGGAGUUUAUGAAAUCUAAUCAUCAAUUUUUAGGAAAUAAUUGCAUCGAGAUUUCCCAACCCUAAACAGUUGAGCAUAAAAGACUCAUUGGGAUAGGCAGUCCUACAGCUCAGCAGAAACCUCCUUUGGCUCAUUGAAAUUAUUGUUGUUCAUCAUCUUCCUAUAUUCCUUUCCGACAGAAACAACAACCAUCGGAUCAAAGUCUUCAUCCAUGAUCAUGUCAUCAUCACUUCUUCCUUUUCCCCGCACAUUUAAACGAGCUUCUUUCUUCAUUAUGUUCAUAAGCCUUUCUAAGCAUGAUCCAGGUUCGUGGGCCUUUCUAUUUUUUUCAGCAGAUAGGUGUUCUUCAUUUUUAUCCUAUUUUAUCAUUCUUCGAGGAGGAGAAUCGACUACCGUAAUGAUGUCGAAUAGUUUCCUUCGAGGUGUUACUUGCAAAAACCGAAGCGUCGCCUUCCUUCUUCCAUCUUCAUCAUCCUUCUCACCGGAUCCCUCACCGGAAUUCUUCCGUAGUUUUGCUCUAGCCCAUAAGGAAGCCAUAUUUUAUACUUCAGUCUUACUUCUCGGUCCCAACUUUUUAAUUGGACAUAGAUCUCUUAGCCAGACUCCGUAUUGAAGCUCUUCCACGGGAACUUGUUCUAACUCGCACUCUUUCUGUAAAUGCCCACGAACUCCACAGUUGUAGCAGAACAAAGGCAGCUUUUUGUAAGCUGCUUUGUAGCAGACUUUCUCAUUAUCGACGUCUAGCAGAACACCACUUCUGAGCGGCUUCUUGACACUGAUGGUGACUCUUAUUCUCAUAUAGUUGCUCUAUAUGUCAGAAUGUUUCGUUAUCAAACACCUUCAACGCUUCAAACAUUUGGGUCCAAGUGUACUUGUCAUUUUCUAUGUUUUGAGUUGCAGAGGAAGUUUUCUAAUCCGAACCAAUAUUUCCGUUUCGCUGAAGUCGACUUCUUCAACAUCUUUAUCUCUCCCUAUCGGCUUAAAAAUCAGCAAUCGGUUAUCAAAAUUCCACCGGCCACCAAAAAGUGUUUUAUUCCUAUCCUCUGCGCCGAAGAACUGGAAUGCAAAUGAUCAAUCCCUAAGUUGAUGGACUUCAAAGUCUUUCUUUGGUUUCCAGGUAGUAGCAAGCGUCAUUUCUGAGUUAUUUGAUUUCGGGAUUCUUCGUACCCUGGAGAAAGCCAAGCUCUCCAAGUUCUUCAACCAUUUCGUUCACUGUUACCCACAUCAUCUAGAUCCACCGUAACGAUAUUAACCUCAUCUUCAGAUAGGUGGAAGUUGAAAAUUUACUUCCCAAUCUCUUUAUCCAUCCCCAUCAACUAACAACAACCAACCAAGAGAAGCAAAAAACUAGAGACAAUCAACCGGAGAACCCCAACAAAAUAAAAACAUGGAGGGGUCCGGACAAGAAAUCUACAAAAAAUGCAAGGGCGGGCUUCAGUGUCUUAAUCCAAUUGAUUUGAUUUAAUAAAUUGUGGGUCAAUUACUUCAACAGUAUUAUGAAUAUAGUUAUUGUAGAGUUAGUGUAAUAUAUAUAUUAAUUAUAAGAAAUUAAUUAUUAUUAUUUUUANNNNNNNNNNNNNNNNNNNNNNNNNNNNNNNNNNNNNNNNNNNNNNNNNNNNNNNNNNNNNNNNNNNNNNNNNNNNNNNNNNNNNNNNNNNNNNNNNNNNNNNNNNNNNNNNNNNNNNNNNNNNNNNNNNNNNNNNNNNNNNNNNNNNNNNNNNNNNNNNNNNNNNNNNNNNNNNNNNNNNNNNNNNNNNNNNNNNNNNNNNNNNNNNNNNNNNNNNNNNNNNNNNNNNNNNNNNNNNNNNNNNNNNNNNNNNNNNNNNNNNNNNNNNNNNNNNNNNNNNNNNNNNNNNNNNNNNNNNNNNNNNNNNNNNNNNNNNNNNNNNNNNNUUUACACAUUCGUUUUUUCAAAAAAAAUUUCACACUUAUUACUAGUUUCUUGUUCUAAUGUUGUUAUACCUCAACCUGCUAUUUUAAAAAUUUCUUCAAUGAUAUUGGCGUUAUCAUUUGUAAAGGUCAUUAGGCUUUAGAGAUUAACCUACUAUCUAAAAUCGUCUUAAUGGUUAUUUUUCGCUUAUUAUUUUAUAUGAUUGAUAUGAUAGUUAUUCGAUUACAUUGAUUCAUUGUCUUGCUUAUCUUAACAAAUUUUCGUCAUGAUCGAUUGCCUUUCGUAGGUCCAGAAUAUUUAUAUACUUGUUCCAGUUUUUUUUUCCCGAUAAGCAACUUGUUUCUGUUAAUAUAACUAUUAUAUCAUAUAUGUUAUAUAUUUUGAAAUUUUUUAUUGUCAUUUUAAGCCAUAUUACAUUCAAUCAAAAGCCAUAAUAAGUUAGUAACGUUUGAAUUAUUUAUUAUUAAAAUAAUUAGACAAUAAUUAUAAUUCUUUAUUUAUUGUUGCUUUCUGAUGCAUAAGUUGGGUAUGUUAAAUGAUAAUAAUAUGUACUAUUGUUAAUUAUUAGCUCAUAUUGUUUAUCUUUUUUAUUUUUCUCAUUAAUUCUAUUUAUGUCUCUUUAUAUUAUAUAUUGUAAUUGGAGUUUGCUGCCUUUGAUGUUUCGGGCAAGAAUUAUUACUUGAUGGCAUUAGAUGGUAAAAUGCAUUUAUAAUGGUCUUCGUGAAACCAUGAAAGACGCUAAUGAAACGUCUUGUGAAGUCAAAGUCAUUGAUCUUACCCGCCAUCACCUCCAGGCAUAAAUGGUUGGAAAGUGAGUAAUCACUCAUAUAUUUUGUGGCAUAACAACUAAGCCAAGUAUGACCCCCACCAGUGCAUGACGAUUUUAAAGUGUGAUACGAUUGGAUGUCCCAAAAGACACAUAAAUUGAGAAAAUGAUCCAAUGAGAUACAAUAUCACUUCAUGAAGAAAAUGAUUAGAAUCAUGUCCAAAAAGAGACACAAUAAUUUAUCAAAGUCUAUCUCGCCAAUAUGUCUCAAAAUUAUGCUGACUCAAGAGAUACGAAAUCAUUCAUGGAAGUGGAUGAUUACUAUAUUAGAUCCAUAGCAAUAAUAUAUAUUCCCAUGAGUGAGCAAAAUAAUAUACUAUUGUGGAGGAGAAGACCUACUAUUUUGGCAAUGAUAAAGAAAUUUGAGAAAUAUAUCAUUUUGUCAUGAAAAGUAGUUAUGACUUGAUGUUGAAAAAUUCCAAUCAUACGAAAGAUGAUAUACAACCAUCAAUAUUGUUUUGAUGAUCAUGCCAAUGAUAUUCUUUUAGCCCUCAAAGUGACUCUUUAGCCCUCCAAGUGAAUUGUGCCAAAAAACAUAUAUUACAUUAUUUUUGGAAGCACAAGUAACAAAAUAUGAUUAUUAUUCCAAUAAUAUGGAACUUUUCAUUUAUAUGGGCAUAAUAAUUAUGGUUGUAUGAGAAUUGUUGAUCCCUUAACUGGUGUCAUGGAUGAUUGAGAGAUAUCUCUAUUUAUCAUUUAAACUGUGCACCAUUCUCAUGACAAAAAUGAGCAACUCUGAUGAGAAGCAACAUAAUAUAUGGUGAUAUAAAUCUCAUCGAUAGUGCAUCACAUAUUGAGUAGUACAAAAUUAAUCUCAAACUCUAGAAACAAUAAUGUGGUUUAUGACCAUGAAAUUAUUGAAUCAAUACUAUUGUCCUCCAAUUUGUACUACACACAUGUUGUCGUGAGAGAAAUGUAAACUAUAAGUGUACCCAUCCUGACAACUAUGGUUUGGCAUAACCAGUUAGACCAUCCUAAUUCAAUCAUAAUGUGAACUGCGAAACUAUAAGGUCAAUUUCUUUGAUCCCAUAAUCUAAAGAGUAUGUUCUCUUGAACAUUGUUGAACAUUGUUGUGCACGAAGGUCUCAACUCAUUUUUGGGUUGCUUAUUUUAAAAUAGAGUUGAUUGUUGGAUAAUCAUCAACUAAAAUAAGAUAAUUUCUCUUACGCACAACAAAACAAGAUUGAUAUUUAUGGAUCCAUACACCCGACAUGUUGACCAAUUAUUUUAAUUGAUGCAUCAACUACAUGGUCACAUGUAUCCAAAAAUCAAGAGUUUGCAAGAUUACUAGCUCAACUAUUUUGGUUAUGAGCAUAUUUCCAUGAUUAUUCAAUAACAAAAAUGUGUCGUUGAGAAUAAAUAUUUUCCAUUCUAAUUGUUAGGAACAUAUCAUUUACAUGAACAACACAAAUUCUCAUUACGCUAAGCGAUUAUUAUGAAUUCCUCCGUUAUAUUUUGUUUUUGGGUCCAAACCACACAUUGCCUAUCAACGCAUAUAUGGAUAUACACAUCCAAAUAGCUCCACCACGAUUUAUUAUGAUGGGUUCUCAAAAAAGAUUGAGAAAUUAUAUUGAUUAUGAGUUCAUCGAUAGUAAAAUAUUCACAUCGUUGUCAGGAGAUUUUGAUGAUUCGUUUGGAGUUUUAUAUUCAAACUUCCCAACAUUAGGGGAGAGAACAAAAGUUGGUCAACAGAUUAGAUGAAUAAUAAUAAUAUCAUUUUAAACCUCGCACUAAGUAAUAUGAACUUGAAGUUCAAAAGUAUAUAAUUCAUCAUUUGCCAGACACUUUACUGAUCCAACCAGUGCAAAAGCUCUCAUGUGCCAACUCAAAAUGCUCCAAUAAAUAUAAUGCCUAUAUUAGGCAAUCUGACAUAACCAAUGAGUCUAACACCCACAAAAAUUGUUGUAGACCACUCGGUUCCAAAGCAAAAAAAUCCUCAAAAUGGAAUGAAGCCUAUAUAUCAAGAUGGUCAAAUUGAGGUUAAGAUUAUUUCAGAAAUAUCACCAAGAAUAACAAAUGUUCUCAUGAAGAAGAGCCUCAGGUACCUGAAAGAUAUUAAUAAAGAUAUCUCAAUUAUCUAUAUCUUGGAUGAAAAAUAUUGGAACCCCAAUGAAGUCAACAUCGACGAAAUUUUUGCGUAUAGUGCAACACUAAAUAUGAUAGUUGAAAAUGAGGAUCAUUAGCCAUUCUCUAUGAGGAUCAUGAGCCAAAAUGCAUGCAAAAAAUAUGAUUGGCAGAAAUCUUCAAUUUGAGGCAAAACCGAAUCUCUGAGAGAAAUGAAAAGUUUUGAGACAUAAAGUCUUCACAUUAAGAUGUAAAGCAUGAGUCUCACAAAGUUUUGAGACAUCUAAUUUUGAAAGGUUUUGUACAAGAAGCCUAUAAUAUAUUGAUNNNNNNNNNNNNNNNNNNNNNNNNNNNNNNNNNNNNNNNNNNNNNNNNNNNNNNNNNNNNNNNNNNNNNNNNNNNNNNNNNNNNNNNNNNNNNNNNNNNNNNNNNNNNNNNNNNNNNNNNNNNNNNNNNNNNNNNNNNNNNNNNNNNNNNNNNNNNNNNNNNNNNNNNNNNNNNNNNNNNNNNNNNNNNNNNNNNNNNNNNNNNNNNNNNNNNNNNNNUAAUAUUUAAUUAUAUCAAAUUGACGUCAUAUGGAUUGAAAGAUUGAGAGAAGUGGUACAUUUAGCAUAUCGUACAUUUCUUUAUGCAUAUAAUUUCUUCUUCAUUUCAAGUUGAUUUUUUUAAAAAUCAUUUUUAUCAGAAUUUAUUGUUUUAAAAUUUUUUUCNNNNNNNNNNNNNNNNNNNNNNNNNNNNNNNNNNNNNNNNNNNNNNNNNNNNNNNNNNNNNNNNNNNNNNNNNNNNNNNNNNNNNNNNNNNNNNNNNNNNNNNNNNNNNNNNNNNNNNNNNNNNNNNNNNNNNNNNNNNNNNNNNNNNNNNNNNNNNNNNNNNNNNNNNNNNNNNNNNNNNNNNNNNNNNNNNNNNNNNNNNNNNNNNNNNNNNNNNNNNNNNNNNNNNNNNNNNNNNNNNNNNUUCAACAUGAUUUUCGUGUAUCAUCAAUGAUAUACUAAUUAUAUCCAACAAAAAGUUAUAUGGAUAUGACAUGGCUAUCAAUGCCUGGAUUGGUAAGAUCAUUAUAUGUGACUCUAUGUCGAUUUUAAUAGACCUUUAUUCCGACACGAGAACUGCUCGAUUUUGAAGUAGUCAUCUUGGUUAUAUUUGUGUUGGUUGACCAUCAAUUGGUCAUAUGUGACAAUUUUAUCACUUGGUAGGUUGUGAAACUAACUUAUAAAAAUACACCGUCAUUCAAAGAUAUGAUCCUAUAGAUCAUGCAUGAUAUUUACUUUAUAUACACUUCUUGAGUUGCAAGAAAUUGUUGUAACGUAAUGUGAUGAUUACGAAAUCAAGUAUUCUCCCUAGUAAGGUUCUAAUGAGACAUAUUCUCAUCUACUGGUCGUCCAAGUGGAGUGUUAUGUAAAUAUUGAUUAUGGAUGACCAUUGAUCAUAUUAUAGGCAUACAUUAUAUGCACAAACUCUAAUGAGUUGAAAGAAUAUUUUUAAGAGUUUGAAUAAUCAUCAAACAAGUGCACUCAAGUAAUAAUUUGGAGUUCAGCAACUUGAUGAUCUUAACUAAUAUAAUGAUAAGGGAGAGUUGAUAUCCUUAUCAGGGGGAGUCGAUAUGAAGGAUCUUAACCGAUAUCAUCAUUAGGGGGAGUCAAUACGCAACUGCACUCUUUUUCCCUUAACCAUGGUUUUUCCCAUUAGUUUUUCCUGGUAAAGUUUUUAAUGAGGCAGUAUCGAUAUUGUACUCGAAGAAAUACAUAUUCUUAACCAUUGGUCAUUCAAGGGGAGUGUUAUGAAUAUAGUUAUUGUAGAGCAUGAAUGCCCAUUGUGUAACAUAUGCAUUAACCAUGAGAAAUCAAUUAUCAUUAUCUCUAUGUUUAAGUGUAAUUAUGUUAGUUAUGUUAGUUAUGUUAGUCAUGUAGAGGUUACAUUAUCUUGAUCCUAUAAAAUAAUGUUCACUACAUUGUAAGAGACACACCUCAAUAAUACUGCCUUUUUCAUCCCAUAUUAUUAUUCUUCUUCGUUUAAUUUUAUAACAAACAACAAAUAUUUAUGGGCAUAUAAAAUUAAUCUCAACCGAAAUUGACAAAUUAAUUUCAUCCUACUGGUCGAAGUAUGUACCUGUGAAUCUUUCUCCUCUUUCACUUACCACCUUGUCAUGUUCUAACGGAAUACAAAACUAACCAGUCAAGCAAUAUCAACUGAACUUAUUUAGGGGUGACACUUGUGGAGCAAGUGAAAUCAUGUCAUUUUUUAACCUUUACCAAUGAUCAAUACCAUCAUUGGAUCGUGAGUUUCACUAUCAUUAUAACAAAGGCUCAACGGUCUUUGUCUCCCAAACUUCCGGGUAUGUGUCCUAUACACCAACCCAACCCCAAUGCCCUUAAUUGCAACUACUUGGUGCCUUUCAGUUGAUGUUGCAGUGUGUAGACCUGUUUCUAACGAUGUUAUAUAGAGACCUUUGCUAGUGGUAUUACAGGAAAAUAUGGAGGCAGUACAUUUUGCGGUAGGACACAUCAUCAAAUACUUCAUUGAUCCUCCCAUCCUUGAAGUCUUGGCGAUUCGUUGUGCCUUGUUCAUGACAAUAGCUUGGCCUCCUCAAUGGAUGUGGCUAGUUUCAGAUUCGGUCAAAUCAACUAGGCUUCUAACCUCGUCCAUCUUUGACACUCGGUUACGCCUUCUACUUGAUGAGUGCCACUCACUACUUUAUGCUAUGCCAUUAAUCACUCUAUACUACGUAUCACUUCGAGAGAAUAAUGUCAUCCACUUCAUGGCUCGCAUGGCUCUUUCUUAUCUCAAUUGUAGUAAUAGAAAUUUUGAUCUUUGUUAUUAUCUUUUGUGUAUAAAAUCAAUAAUACCUUUAGAAAAAAACAGAUGAAUUUUUUAUUAAUAUAUAAAAUAUAAUUGUGUAUUUUAUAUAGUAGGAGAUAAUUAUGUGUUAAGUAUGGUAGUUUAUUUUUUGUAAACUCGGCUAUAUAUAGGAUCUUCCGGUCAAAUGUAGACAGACAAUCAUCUUCUUCCUCUCCUCUCUUUGAGCAUAAUACAAUCCUCUCGUGUUAUGCUUGGUGGAUUAGUCGACCUUACGGUCGAAUACCAUGUUAAACUCUCGUGUUCUCUCCUUUAUCGCAUCAUCCGUAUAUGGUAUCAGAGUUUGGACACUCAUUUUCUUUAUUGUAACUAGCAACUAGGAUUUCUCUCCAACUUUCAUGUUCUUCGGCUUCAUUAUGUUUUAACUAGGACAUUGCUUCUGUUCAUUUCAGCGGCAAUACACAAUCUGGUCCUUCGAAUUUCGGUAUCUAAUUGAAGGCAAGGAGCUAUUGCCUUAUCUCGAUGGAACCUCCAAGAAACUAAGUAAAUCGACGACCUCUGAGCGAAAAAAUCAAAUGCAAUAAAGGUAACACUCGUGUUUUCUCGUACCUUAUUGGCUCCAUAGAUCAACAGAUUCUCUGACACUACAAAGGUUUAAAACUGCUGCUGAAAUCUGAUCGCACUUAAAGAUAGCUUAUGCUUAGACUAAUAUUGCUCGCGUUUUUUAGGUUGUAUAUGAACUUGAAAAGCUCACUCAAGGGGAUCUCGAUAUUCCUAGCUUAUACCUUGAUGUUCAUAACUUAAAAGAUUGAAUAAGAUUUACUUAGCUCCUCUUUGCUAACUUCGGAUUUCAAUGUCACGGUUCCAAAGGAACGACACCGUUUUUGAGUUCUACACUUUCUGAAGAAGCUUCGAUUUGAAUACGAGUUUGUACGAUCUUAGGUUCUUUCUACAACCACCAUUAAUAUCAAUAUUAUCCUAAUAGGGCUUAGAUUAGGACCAGUUAUGAUAGUCGAACCCCCCAAACCCGGUUUGAGCGGAACCGGGCUUGGGCGAGAUACCUGGCGAUUUACCCGGUCACUAAAAAAGGGAAAAUUUGAAUGAUUUUUUCAUCAUUUUCUUUCUUCUCCUUAUUUAAUCUUUGUAUUUUCUCUACAUUUAUUUCUUCAAUUACUUCCCUCAAUCUCCUAUACUUUCUUAAUUCUAAUAAAAAGUAAAAUUCAUUAAUCUCCGGAAAAAAAAAUUAAAAAAAAGNNNNNNNNNNNNNNNNNNNNNNNNNNNNNNAGAUCUAAAGAAAAAAAAAUAAUGACAAUUACAAAAACUAGAUAUGAAAAAUGAGAUUUGAAAAAGUAUAUUUAGAUAUGGAUAUCUUUUUUUUUUAUUUUUCUUAUUCAGUUCGUCUGUUUUGUUUUUUUUUCUCACCUUUUUUGGAUUUAAUUUUUAGUUUUUUACCCAUUCGAUUUCUAUUACAGAGUAGCAAUAGAUGCAUUCAUGGGUUCAAUCAUUGGUGAAAGUGGUGGUUGAAUCACCUGAAUAGGAGAAAAGAAAGAUAAAUAUUUGGUUGGUGGAUGGGUGAGUGAAUGUAGAUCCACAGAGAUGAAAAUAAUAAAUAUUUGAGAAAAGUGAAUUAAAAUGGAAGAGGAGUUUCAUGUUUUUGCUUAAUUAGUUUGAUUUUAUAUCGUUAUUAUUAGGAUUGUGUAGAUUCUGGAUCAAGUUUGGAUCAGGUGGGUUUUUUUGAGUUUAAAUUCGGAACUCAUCUAUUUUUCCAUCCAAACCCUGACCAUUAUUUAUUUUGAUGGGUUUCCGGACACCCAAAAAAAGUUUGACGGAUUGGGCGGGGUAAAAACCAAGUGAAACCUGGUAUGAUUCCCAACUCUAUAUCUUGGGGCAUCUCGUUCGAAUGGAAAUGCGAGCUUUUAUUUUAGAAAUCAUUAUUUUAUUAGUGAAAGAGAAAUACAAAGGAGGACCAAAGGCCAAUGAAAGACAAUGUCACGAUUAAAAAGGCCCAAACAAACCCUAGCCCAAAAGAAAGCAACACAACUCUAAUUUCUACAUUACAACAGAUUGCAAUCGUCAGAUCUCUGAGAAGCCAUCACCACAGUCUAAACCUUCUGAUGCACCGCCGACCACCGGAAACCGUUUCGAAGUUUGUCGUUGAGGAUGACACCAAAGUAACAACUUUUCUUCCAUUGCAGAUGUCUCUACCGCCAACUCUAUGAUCUGCAUCCAAGUUCAUAUAAAAGAUUACAUUUCCGGAUUACCAACCCAAUGGAGUUAAACAAGAAGGUAGAUGAAAGAAGAAGGAGAAGUAGCAACUGAAAAAUAACUCAUUUUGCAUUCAAGAGGAACAAACUAGAAUAGGAAGAUCAAAUCUGUAAAAAAAACUCAAAAAAAGAAGAAAUAGGCUCCAAAUGAGGAAAAAACAUGCCCAAUGAGAGAAACAAAUCAUAGAUCAAAGCAAGUGUGAUAAGAAUCAAUUAAGGAAAGCAACAAAGUAAGGAAAGAAAAGUAAAAUGCUGUCGCCGGUCACCUAAAGAUGGUGUUAGUGGCAACAACAGAAAACAGACGAAGAAGAAAAGAAGAAAGAAGAGAGAGAGUUUCAAAGAAAAGAAAGAAAAGUGAAGUUCUUUCUUCAACCCAAUGAAAACGCGACUCAAAACCCUAUUUUUGUUGGACGAUGGAUUGAAUGAAGGGGUUUUGUUUUCGUGGCUUAACAUAUUCGAGGUACAAAUUCCUUUUGACCUCAAUUUAAUUCAUCUUUGAAUAAUUGUACUGAAAUUCAUUCGCGCCAUUGUGGUGAACUUGACCAUUAUGAGAAUCAUUGCAACGAGUGGAAUGUUUGCAAUUAUUCUCGACUGUCGGAAACGUUAUUGUAAUAGUGGGGAUGGGAAUUCUGGUGGGUAUGGUUCGUAUUGCAGUAAUAUCUCGAGCAACAAUUACUCUACGGCCGUCAAUUAUUCUUCAUCCAACGGCCAUCACUUAUUCUUUGGGUUCAUCGACUAUGGGUUCUAAUACUCAUAGGUUGGUUAUUCGGCCUCUACCGGGACUGACAGUAUGAGACUCAAUAUUGAGGAUCUCGUGCAGCUACUUAGAAAAUUAUUCUAGGAGCUUUGAAUGUGUCUUCUCAUCAUUCUCCAGUGCCAGUAAAAGUGGUACUUGGUUACUUGAUAUAUUCAGACUCUUUGAAUCAUGUGACAUGGGAUUAGACUACGCUUACUAUAUGAUGAAACCCACGGGUAUUAAUUGGGUCAGGUAGAAAACAAAGCUCCUUUGAAAGCAACAUUUCUUGGGGAUGUGAAAUCUGAAAAAAUUGAAUUAAUCGAUACUUUACAUGUUCCUUACCUUCCCAAUCUUGUUAUCGUGGGACAGCUUCUGAUAACAAGUACAUCAUCUCUUUUUCUCCUUCUAGUUGUUUGGUGCAGUUUCACUUCUAACUUUGGUAGAGAAAUCGUUAGGAAAAUCUUACAUCGACAAAGUAUAAGAGAUCUUGUAUACAUUAAUAUUUGGGUCCAUUUUCGAUAACCUCAUGUUUGGGUUAUCGGCAUUUUUCCUUGUGUGUUGACCGUGCCACCCAAUACACGUGAGGUUAUUUUCUUCGUUUUAAUUUGGAUCUUCUUUUAAUUCAGACUCAGAUUUAGAAAAAUCAUCACGGUGUUAGAAUAUAAUUAUGUAUUUUUAUAUAGUAGAAGAUAAUUCUGUGUUAAUUAUGAUAGUUUAUUUUUAAGCAUAAUACAAUUCUCUCGUGUUGGGCUAUAUGUAUAGGGUCAGCUUCCCAAGUUUGGAAAACAAUCAUCUCUUCCUCUCCUCUCUUUGAGCAUAAUAUAUUGAUUAUGGUAUAUGAGAAUGCUUGGAUUAUGGUUUUUGCAACUUAGAAUGUGCUUUGGCUUGUUCUAGGUCAAAUGUACUCUUUCAAUUACUUAAUUGUACUUGACUUGAGUAAGUGUGUAGUCCAAGAUUGAAGUAAGGUGUGUGUGGACCAAGAACACACCCAAUUCAACCAUUAGUGUGAGAAUUCUCUUAGUGGCAUAUUAUCGAACACCUUGCGUGCAUUCCAGUAAUCACUUAGGUAGUGACAAUUCAGGUGAUUGGAAUAUUAGGGGGUGCCAAAUAGUGACUUAGCACCCUUGCUAAGUGUUUGCGAUACCAUUAAGAGUAUUUUAACACCUAAGCAUUUUUUCGAACACUUGGUGUUCACUACCAAUUGGCUUGAUCACUUUCCAAUUGGUAGUGGUAGUCCAAUUCAAGACCUUGAAUUGGAUUCCUAUGAAUGUUUAGGGGAUGAUCAAACCAUAAACCUUCUCCAUUGUAUCCAAUCUUUCUUGUGAAUCAGAUUUCUGUGCAAAAACAAGACCCAAAGUUUAGAAAUCCUCCUCUCCUUGUGUUCCACCUCUUCACUCUCUUAUUUGGUUAGUUCAUUAGCUUAAACUAGUUUGAAUUACUCUUGGGAAUGAUAAGUACUUAUUGGAUAACCUAAAGAACCAGCAUUUUGAACCUUUGUGAGCUUGAACCGUGUCUUAAAUAGUUGAGUGAAGGUUUGUGAUCCGUUCCUUGUCAAAAUCGAUACUUGAGACCUUAGAUUUGGGAUUAGUCCCCUUUUCCUUGUUGAUCAAGUUUGUUUGGUUCUUUUCUAGAGGAUCAAAUGUUGAUGAACGUUUUUAGGCGUGAUCAAACGUUGAUGAACGUUAAUGAAUUAACCGAGUCGAAUUUCCCUAGGGUCUCUUUUAGUAUCCUACUCAAAGUUGUAAUUAAUACGUAUAGUAACAAGUAGUGUGGUUUAGGUGCCACGAGGAUCAAUCAAACAGUUAAAAAGAAUAGAGUCCCUCUUGGCAACUCUAAUUCACAAAUGAACAGAAAAAUUCUUUGAUUUAAACGAAACAAGAUAGAUGCAUUACAAUAUCGCAAUUAUUCUCUAUCAAAUCACGUCCUUUCGGGUAUGCUAAUUUGCUAUCUAUCUAGUAUUCUAGUACUCUCUUUUGAGACAAAGAUCUAAAACUUGGUAGGCGAUUUACCGAUUUAGAAUUGCUCACACCACAGACUAGUUCAUUCGCUCCCGGACAAGGGUUAACGUCUAACCUAGUUAUUUGAUUUUGGUGUUCUAGAUAUGAAAGCUCUUUCUAGUCUAAGUCAAAUCUAACCGAGAUUCAUUCAAGUACAUCGGGCAAGAACAAAUCGAAAAUAAAAUCAAAUAUGCAACGAAAUCCAUCCAACUCGCAUAAAUCGUCAACCGAAUCAAAUCAUUCGUUCAUUGGAAUUAAUCUAGGGUUCAUCUAAUCUAAGCACAAGGAGUUUAACUACUCAGAAUGUCAAAGAAAAAAAUCAGAUUCAAAGAAGGAAGCCGUUGGAAUUAGGUUUACAUGAAGAAAUUUGAAAAAUCUAAUUUCGCCGAUUCCUGUUGAAGAACUUUAUUCGCCGAUCUUGAUUAUGUCUUCUGAUCCAAGAUCCUUGCAAUCAAUGCCUUCUCGUCGCUCUGAAGUCUCUCAACUAUCCUCUGAAUUUCGUCCAAAAAGUUCUAUUAAUUAUGAGGGCGAGCUGGGCUUUUAUGGAGAAGGAUUCCUUGAGCCCGUCAGAUACUAACAGUCCAAUGUACAUGGACCAAAAGUGCGCCACGCAGGUUUGGUCUAUCCAACACCUUCGGCCUUGCAUCAAUCAGACUUAUGAGCUAGGAGAUAUGUUCAAAAUACGAAACUACAACGUUUUCCGACCAAGUCGAAAUCCAAGCUACUUGAAGAUUCAAAAUUCUUCACAUUGCUUUAUCUUAGACAAUCCACAGACCAUAUCACUUUGACUAAUGCCUCGAUGUCAUCAUGUACCUAAAAUCUAUCAAAAACACUCCAAAACAACAUCAAAUGGACCCUGAACGGGUUCGAGACACUAAAUUGAGAUAUAUGUUAGAAAUGCACGAAACAUCCUAAAAUUCUACCAAAACUAUAUGAAUGUGCAUGAUAUGUCAAUUAAAUGAGGAUGAUGAACACGAAAAAUUGAGUGUCAUCAAAUACCCCCACAUUUUGGUUUCAUUUUAAGAUUCGCUUGUUUGUUAAGCAAUUUAGGGAUGCAUUAAGGAUUAUGGAUUUUUUUUGCUAUGUCGGUAGUUGGUUUGAUUGUAGAUGUCCUCAAACAAACAAACUAAUUCAGAGGUAUUUUAUUUGGCUUUAUAAUGUGGACAGAAAAGAGAAGAGAAGGUGAAAUGACUUUUGGUGGUGUGUAUACUUAGCUGCAAAUGAAUCAGUCUACUUCAACAUGGAGUUAAGCUACUAAUCAUGAACAAUGUUAUGUAAGGAUAUUACACUGCUAAAAGCUCAAACUAGCUCGUCUACCCCUUAUGCACAAACUACUACUUCGAGCUUUUGUGCUCGUUAUCUUAUCUAACUCGAGACCUUUAGGUCUUCUUUUGACUUUUUGAUAUUUCUUCUAUCGAGACUGGGUUUUUUACUUGUGUCCUUCCUUUUUCGAGAUUUUCAAAAAAAUUCUCUUUUUCUCAUUUUUUCGAGAUUCUACAUACACAUCAAACUGAACAAGGGAGACUAUAUAAUCCUCCAUUCUUUAAAGGUUAGCAACUCUGACUCUUAGCCUCAACCGAGUUAUAUGCCACUAAUGUACACAUUAUCAAAUGAAGGCUUGAAAAAAGGGGGACACGAUAUUAUGGGGGUUAUGAAAAAGGCUUUUUGGCUAUGAUCAGGUUACCUAGGGGAAGAACGAUCGACCAAAGAUGAGAGGAGUUUUGUUGUCCUCUCUAAUAUCCAUUUCCAUAAAAUCAACAAGGCAACAACUAUCAUGCACAUUCAUUGGCACAUUCUCUACAAUCCCUAGACGCAACUUAACAGACCUAUCAACAAAUUGGACAUUUAUAUCGACAAAAAUUAACUUAGAUAGUCCUAAACGCUUAAAAAGGGGAAUAUGGCAUGAUGUUAAUACUAGAACCUAAAUCAGCUAAUGCUCUAUCAACAUGAUGAUUAUUAAUAACACAAGAGAUUGAAAAGCUCUUAGGUCUUUUUGCUUGGGUGUCACCUUAGCCGGCAAGAUUGCUGAGCAUUCUUCACCAAGUGUUGCUGUCGGGGCGACCUCUUCUUUCUUCUUCCCAAGUAGUAACUUCUUCAAAAUUGUUGCAUAUGUUGGGAUUUUGGUGACGGCCUCCAAGAAGGGUAGACAAACUCCCUGGUUGCGGAGUAAUUCCACAUAUUUUUCAUCGUCUAUCGGCAAGCUCUUUCUUCUAUGGGUUGUUGGGUAAGGCGGCUUUGGCCUAUAUCUCUCUAUCUCCUAUUGUGUGAGGAUGUAAUUUGUGUUUUCCGGUAAUCGAGCCUUUCACGGUGGUGUGCUCCUCUCGAUCUGAGCUGCCUGCUUUAGCUGAUCAACUUGGUAGGUAUCUUCAAUUCCAUCAUACAUACCCAUAUGGAUAUGGCAUGUGCUCCCUCUAUGUGUGCUUUUCCCGAACGCUAAUGAUUGUUGGGAUUUUGCUUGGUGUUUCCCGGGAGCUGUCCUUGAGGCCUCUGGUCAACCUUUUGUGAUAAAGCUGUGCAUGAUGCUUCAAUACCUUGUAUCACAGCUUGUUGAUUCUGUAAAAUAACAUUAUGAGUAGCUAAUUGUGUAUGCAUGACCUUUAUCAUCUAAAUGAUAUCUUCAUUGAUCCUUCCAGCUGGGCUGAAUUGUGCUGCUAUUGUUGCUGAGUUGGCUUGGAAGGGAAUCCAUGUGGUCCUUGGUUGUGGUUUGUUGUAGAAGUUUUCACAUUCCCCUUGACUAUCACAAAUACCACACCAAGCACAAGUGUAAACAGAUGCAGCAGGGGGAUUAGCAACCUUCAAAUUGUCAAUCCACUUCUCCAAUGCCAUAUUUUGAGCUCUCAAGGCAAUAUUAUCUACAUUGUCAGGAGAAACUACAUGUGCUGGCUAAACUGUAUUCCUUGCCCAAUUCCUAGACUUUGUAGCACAUGAAUCAAAGUGUCUUCAAGAUGCUUAUGGAGCAAGAAAAAUGACAUCUCCAUUUGCUAGUUGAUGUACUAGCAUUGUUGUAGCUCAAUCUAAUUAACAUGUCUACCAGCUGACUAUCUGUAUAACCAUGGUAAGGGCAGUCUGAUCAAAGCUCUUGAAAUCUGUUUCACGGAUCAUAUAAGCUUUCUUCUUCUCUCUGAUGAAUUCGAGAAAUUGAUUCUCGAAUAGCUACUGUCUUCGUUGGUGGAUAGUACUCCUCUACAAAAGCUUGACCUAGAGUAUCCCAGUCUCUAAAUGUGCCUCUAGGUUGACUAGUUAACUAUCUUCUUGCCGCUUCUCGAAGAGACCACUCGAAUAGCUUGAGCUUCAUUGCUUCUUCCGAAAAACCUCGAAGCUUAACAGUCUCACAAUAAGCAUAAAAAUCCACUAGAUGAGCAAAUGGAUUUUCAUUUGUCUUGCCUUCAAACUUCAAGUUUCCCUGGAUUAAGGAGAUGAGAUUCCCCUUAAUCUCAAAAUUCCCCUUAAUAUCAUCUUGCUCAGUAGGAAACACACUAGAUAUGGAGUACGUAGCACUAGGCUUUGUGUAAUCUGCAAGAGUUCUUUCUGCCGCUAUUAUGUCAGUAAUCUUGGAAGUGUAACUGUGAUCUGUGUCAGGACAAAAAUCUAAAUCUGAAGAGUCUUCAAGCCUAAAUUCAUUGUCACUUCAAAAUAAAGCUUUUAGAGAGUCGGCAAUCUCUCCUUCUUCCGUUGAUGAGCGUGAGUCUUAAUGAGAACUUUGACCUGAUUUUGAUUGUGUCACUGUCGGUGACAUGUAAUGUACGCACACCUCCGCAAGGAAAAAUAAAAACACCUGUGAAAAGUAACUGUGAAAACAAAAAUUUAAAGCGGGAGUGAAUUACUAAUACUAAUCGAACUACUUUUAGAUACUAUAAAGAAGUCCCCUGCAACGGCACCAAUUUGAUGAACGUUUUUAGGCGUUAUCAAAAUAAACCAGUUAAUGAAUUAAUCGAGUCGAAUUUCCCUAGGGUCUAUUUUAGUAUCCUUCUCAAAGUUUUAAUUAAUAUCAAUCAAAGUAACUAUUGUGGUUUAGGUGCCACAAGGAUCAAUCAAAUAGUCAAAAAGAAAAUGAAAUUGCUUUAAAGUAACUAGGUUGCAAGACUGCAUGAUAAGAGUUUAGACAACCAAAGAUAAAACUGCAUAGAUGUUGAAUCCCCCCUAGGAAAUUCUAAUUCACAAAUGAUAGACAAAUGCCACAAUUUAAAUGAAACAUGAUAGAUGCAUUACACUGCCACAAUUCUUCUCUAAUCAAAUCAUGCCCUUUCAGGUCUGCUAAUUUACUACCUAUCUAGUAUUCUAGUCCGCUCUUUCAAGACAAACGUCUAAAAUCCGCUAGGCAAUUUACCGAUUUAGAAUUGCUCACACCACAGACUAGUUCAUUCGCUCCCGGAUGAGGGUUAAAGUCUAACCUAGUUAUUUGAUUUCGACAUUCUUGAUAUGCAAGCUCUUUUCAGUCUAAGAAAAACCUAACAUAGAUUCAUUCAAGUUGAUCAGGCAAGAACAAAUCGAAAACGAAAUCAAAUAUGCAAUGAAAUCCAUCCAACUUGCAUAAAUCGUCAAACGUAUCAAAUCAUUCAUUCAUAGGAAUUAAACUAGGGUUCACCUAAUCUAAACAUGAGGAGUUUAGCUACCCAUAAUCUCAAAGAACAAAUCAGAUUCAAAGAAGGAAGACAUUGGAACUAGGUUUACAAUAAGAAAUCCAAAAACCUAAUUUUGCCGAUUCCCGUCGAAGAACAUGAUUCGCGAAUCUUGAUUAUGUAUUCCGAUCCGAGCUCUUUCAAGUCAAUGCCGUCUUCUUGAUCCAAAGUCUCUGAACUACCCUAUGAAUUUCGUCCAAAAAGGUCUAUCAAUUAUGAGGGAGAGUUGGGCUUUUAUAUUGAGGAUUCCUUGAGCCAGUCGGAUACCAAAAGUGCCAUGUACACUGACCAAAAGUGUGUCACACACAUUUCAUCUAUUUACGGGGAACGUUUGGUCUAUUUUACAGAGACAUCUGAACUCAAAUUUUGUAUAAAAUUGAACUAUCUUUCCAACGCCGCCGGCCUUCCGAGCUAGACCAUUGCUUGUCCUAGACCAUCCACACACCGUAUCUCUCCGAUUAAUGCCUCGAUGUCGUCAUGUACCUGAAAUCUAUCAAACCACUCUAAAACAACUCAAAUCGACCCUGAACGGGUCCGAGACACUAAAUCGAGAUAGAUGUUAGAAAUGCCCGAAACAUCCUAAACUUCUACCCAAAACUAUACGAAUGUGCAUGAAAUGUCGCUUAAAUGAGGACGAUGAACACAAAAAAUUGAGUGUCAUCAAAUACCCCCACACUUAGCUUUGCUUGUCCUCAAGCAAAAAGCUAAUAAAAGCUACGGAACACAUCUACAAUCAAAUCAACUACCGACAUAGCAAAGAAAAUCCAUAAUCCUCAAUGCAUCCCGAAAUUGCAUAACAAACAAGUGAACCGUAAAAUGAAACAGAAAUAGGAUGUAACCCAGUGACGAUGAACGCCCCCGAGGCGUAGCAUUUCGACUUCAUCUCAUUCUCCGAAAUGUUAAGCAUGGAUGGAACCAACGUUGCAUACUUCUUCUUUCGCUCUGAACUAAGUUGGGUUCCCGUGAUAGGACUCCUUAAUGAGUACAUUACAUCGUGCUACGUAACUGUCAUCUCUUCGAACGACAUGUGAAAGGUGUUGGUGUUUAACUGCUACCCCUCAACAAACGCCAACAGUAGGGGCACAUCCAAUCCCGAUGACAUAAGAGAACCGAGGUGCGACGACCCAGUAGCCUCGACUAACUCCCUAGCUACAUUGCUAGUUCACAGGCACUUUGCCAGCUUAUUAACCCUAUACUUUGCGGUGCGGGUCCUGAACUGCGAGGACAAUUUUGAGUCCAUACCGCACGUCCAGAGGUUGUGAGCUACGUGACAACCAAAACUAGGGAUCAGAGUAGGGAUUUGUGGGCCACCAAGUACUGAACCAGUAAGCAUCCACUCCUCGCUAGUGCUCAAUUGGACCCUUAUAGAACGCCCAGCUCUGCCAUGUCUAGGGCCCGCAGUGGAAGAACCCUGAGAUGAACUACUACUCGCUGCUAAUGGACAGCCCCUACCCCUCCCCACUGAUUUCUUCUGCAGUCGACUACUGUCAAGUAACAGGGGGUGAAAAGGGGCAUCAUGAUCGUCGUCCUUAGACUCGUCCCCGUCCGACGGAAUCUUGUGAUCGGCGCCGUUUUAGUCAUCUCGAUUGUCAUCGAUGUCAUCGGCCAACAAAAGUGUCAUCAACCAUCAACACUGUCCCAGUAGAAUGCCGAUGGGGGGUCUAUAUAUAUCCGUCCGGAAAUCUGAAACUGCGCACUCGACUGACCAUCUCCCCCUAACCUUGAUUUCUUUCACAUCCCAAUUCCCGGGUUUUCUCUUCGAUUUGAGGCAGAAAUUGGAUGGUUAUUCAACCGCGGCAACGAAUGCUAACCUCGCUUCUAACUAUAUAUGAAAUUUAAAUCGUAACUAGUAAUUAGAAACAAACACAUGUUUCAGCAUUUUGAAAAAUUUCCCAUGCGUUUGGUUCAGAAAGAGCUACAAUACGACAACUAGAAAAGCCUAAUCUACAUUCUUUGUCAGUGUCUCCCAGCAGCAGGCCUAGAAGGUAUGAGUGUCAUGAGAUAUGUGAUCAAGGACCAGAGGCUAGCCACAGCAAGUAUCUGGAACAUCACCACCAAUGAAACCAAACCGUUCCCUCUUCCUAUCAACUGCGGAGACUCUGGUAGCCCUCUCAUCGUGAACAGUAGCUUCUCCACGAAAUAAGCACCCUUUGUCAAUUGAUAUAGUCUGUACACCUGUUGUCCACAACGCAUCACAUUCCAAAGUACUUACUACUUCAAUUAAUUAAGAGCAUGCAUGAAAAACUAGUACGUACCUCGAAUAUGAUGGGGACUAAAGGAAGACAAGGCGAGCCAGGCAUACUAAGCUGGAGUUCAAACACUGCCUGGGCAAUGCAGCCAGCUAUGUAUGGAAUAACAGCAACUGCUGCUGCCACACCAACCAUUGACCAAGUUGCCAGUGCCCACACAGUCGGUAACAGAAACUUGAGCGACAUGGCACCAUAGCAUAUCGUCAAGUAUAGUUCAGGGCCGUUAAGUCUACCCCACCAUUUCGAGCUAAGUUUCAUAUAAGGCCUCUGUAUCCAGUUAGUUAUCCCUAGAAACACUGAUAAACCUAUAUAGAACACUGCCUCGAAGCACACUGAACGCACAAUCUCUGCAUAACAUGUCAGUGUUCACCCACUAGUAAGUUUAUGCCCGCAUUUGUUAAACAAGUAUCAACAUCCAGCAAGAUUUUAGGUUUAAUCCAACAAACAAAUACUUUCAGAAAUGUGGUUCCAUCAUUACCUGCAACAACUGCAUCCUUAAUAAGUCGAUUGAUUGCCUGACCAACGAAGAAUUGGGGAACAAUUAAGGACGAUAUCAACACAACUGGCCCCACGGUCCAAAGCAAAGAGUGUGCUGAUUCUGCUUUCAAAACUCUUCUCCAUUCUUCCACAUUAUCAUGACUCAAUCCACAAAACGAUACUGAACCUGAAUACCCUCCAGACGGUUCCAAAUCAUACAAGCUGCCAGUAACACGCGGCAAAGAUAUUUCCUCAUCCAAAAGCUUCAAAUUUAUGUCGGCGGCAUCACUGGAUUUGGAGCUGCUAGAAGCACGUAUUACAAAAUCUCUCUUCAGGCUAAGUAAGCCAAGUCUCUUCGAAUUAGCAAAGACGGUACAAUUGGAGAGGCUUCCUACUCCACCUCUUCUGGCCCCCAAUUGGAUGGAUGAACCCUAGAAAUGCAAGAUCAGGUGUCGAAACAGGUAGUGAUAAAAAAUUAUCAAAACACAGUGGGGAGGGGAGUUGUUGAUUUGGGUGAAAUCAGAAGCAACAUACUCACAAUUCGAUAAGGCGAGUGGGAGGGAGUUGUCAACCGGAGGAUGGAAAUGGGAACCCUUCCUCCACAAACGGAUUGCAAUUCCAUUAAUUGUUUUUCCGUGUAGAUUGCUUAAUUGACAGAGUUGCGUGAUAGAAAUGCAGGAGAAAGAGCUUGAACCUUAAACCCCUGCGUCUUGUGAUUCGCAUUAUUUGCUGACCCCUACAAGUACUAACAAGCUAAAUCUGGGCCUUGGCUCAACCAUCCAAUAACAUCACAGGGAAGGAAGUAGAAGUGGUGAGGGUUGAGGGCCCGAUCCAUGAAACCAGCUCAUAACAAAAUUAUGCACAAUUUUAAUUUCUUACCAUUUCACUUGUUUUUUUUAUAUAUUUUUUAGCAUUAGUGAAACCAAGAUUCAUGCAUGCAUUAAUUCAAAUUUGAAUAAAAAAUUUGUACAUAAAAAAAUAAUUGACAAAUACAUUUUUAAAUCUAAUAAAAAAUUAAAAUAUAUAAAAUAACAUUUGUUGUACUUUUAUGUUAGGGAAUAACAGAGACGUGACUCUCCCUAAUUCCCUCUAAUUCUGACACAAUCAAAUAUUAAGCCAACUUAUUAAGUCACAAGCUCAAAAAAAUCAUAAUUAGAUAGCCAAAUUUAAUGCUUCGGAAAAGAAACUAGGGUGAAUUACAAGUCACAAUUAACCACAACUAUCUCUAAUUCCACCAAUGUAUUUUAGGUAGCACACUUAACCUUCAACCAUAUUAAACUAACCUCAACUAUCUCUAAUUUCACCGGUGCAUUUUAGGUAGCACACUUAACCUUCUUCCAUAUUAAAAAAAUUCUCAAAAGCAUGAGGUACGUCAAAAAUAUUGAAGUUAAACAUCUUGUAUUCAACAUUAGCUAGAUAAUCGAUUCCAUAAUUUUCAUUUAUAUACAAAUAGGAAAAGUUCAAUCUUUUACUCCCUCUACAUCAUUCAUGAUUUGGGGGAUAAUAGCCACGUGUUGUUGGACUCCAUUUUCAUGAUCAUGUUCUAUUAAUUUUUUAGGGGAAACCAUCAUUAUCACAUAGAUUAUAUUGAGAGAAAAACAUUAUCUAAUUAAUCAGGAGAGGAGAGGCUACACCCGAAGUGGGUAACCAUUGAGAUCAUAAGCUUUAAAUUUUCUUGAUUGUCAUUGAGGACCUCGAGCCAAUACAAUCAGCUUAUUUAAAUGUGCUUUAUCAUCCUGAGUAUUUAGUAUCUAGUUAUACAUAUAUACAUAUGUGAGUAAAAAUUCUAAAAAUCGGUAAGUAAACCACAAAUAGUUAAGUACUUACUCGAUCUCUAAACCAAUUAACAAAAUCUCUAUGGACAGUUUUGUCCACCGUAGAUGUGUUUUUCCUAUAGGGACGCUAUUUAGUUAUAGUAUGGAAUUCUCUAAUAUUCAAUGAGAUUAAUCAAUUAAUUAUAACAAGAUAAUAUCUUUGAAAGUGUAAUGGGAAUUAGAAGCAUUGAACUUACUCUAGAAAACAACCAAUUUGGUUGCAAUUCAUUAGAACAUGUCGGUGCCCUUGAAAGAUUUUCAUAUCAGAUAGAGUAAAAUGUUGUACUCCACCAACAUGUUUUCCGAUCAAAGGCAAGCUACAUGCAUAAGAUGAUUGAUCAGCAACUACAUCAUGCACUCGUGAUUCAUGGUUGAAUUUCGUCUCAACCACAACUUUAAAAUACAACUUCAGAAAUUCAAACUUCCGCAAUAAAGCCUUCCGGUUGUGAUCUAUUCCGCACAAAUGAUUUCAGCUUGGCUAAAAAUAGACAUAUAACACCAUAAGAAAGACAGUUUUUGGCAGGGGUUUAAAGUCAGAGAUACAAGCAAAAGAAAAUGAAAAAGAAAUUGCAAUGCAUUAGUUGAAUGAACGAGCAGACAAGCUCGGAGUAGUAGUUUAAAUAAGGAAUAAACGAGCUAGUUUGAGCUCAUGUAGACAGCUAGAUCCUUGCAUACAUUUGGUUGUGUUAGUAGCUUAGGAAAAUGUUAGAGUAGAGCGAGUUGUCCACCGCUAUGUACACCCACCACCAAAUUCAUUUCACCUUCUCUUCUCUUCAUGUCCACAUUACAACCCAAGUAAAAGACCUCUUAACUAGUGUUUGAUGUGCCUUGAUGUGAUGAGUAAAAGUAGGUUGAUAUACAAGUGUUGGAAGCGCACCUCAGAGUUGAUGAUGAGCACAUAAACACUAUCCCUAGACACUUGAGUGAGUGCUUUUGGUUUCAUCUUUAAGUUGAAUCUCUUGAGAGUAACUCUAGAUGGGUGGUAUAACAUGCAUGAUGAUGUGUGGCAAGUUUGGGAACUUUGUGUGAGGCUUUUACUUCCUAUUUCGGUUUGUUUAGAGAUUUUGUUUUAUGUUAAGCAAUCCAUGGGUGGAUUGAGGAAUAUGAGUUUGCUUUGCCAUGUUAAUAGUUUGAUUCGAUUGUAGGUGUGUUCCAUGGCUUUUAUCAGCUUUUUUCUUGAAGACAAGAUUAAGUGUGGGGUUAUUUGAUAACGCUAAAUUUAUCGCAUAUAUCGCCCUCAUUUAAGUGAUAUUUCAUGCAUAAUUGUAUCGUUUUAGGUAGAAGUGUAGGAUGUUUUAUACAUUUAAGAUUUUAUCUGUAUUGAGUGUCUCGGACCCGAUCGUGGUCUACUUGAUGUCGUUUUGGAUUGUUUUUUUAUAGAUUUCAAGUACAUGACAACAUCAAAGGCAUUAAUCGGAAUGAUAUGGUAGGCAUGGAUGAUCUUAGACAACCAAUAAGAAGCAUUUUAACAUCUUCAAGGAGGGUGGAUCUCGACUUGGUUGGAAAACGUCACAGUUUCAUAUUUUCGACAUAUCUCCUAACUUAGAAGCCCGAUUGAUGCAAGGCAGACGGCGUUAGAAAGUUCGUUCAAUUCCUGAAAAUUUUGGUUCUGGACUAUACGCCUAUAAAUGUCACACUAUACGCCUAAGUUAAGGCGCAUUGAGUGAAGGCUUGGAAGCAUGGAUUCUCUAGAAGUUUGUUACACCAUGCGCCUAAAGAUGUCACAUUAUGCGCCUUAAACAUACUAGUUAAGGCGCAUAGUGUGACGGCAGACAUGAAAAAGGUGUUCUGCUCCUAUUUAAAGUCCUUUCACCCCUAAUUCAAAGACAAACCUUUUUGGACGAAAAUUAGAGAGAAGUUCAGGACUUCAGACCAACUAGAAGGCAUCAACUUCAAGGAGCUCGGGUCAGAAGACAUAAUCAAGAUUGACAGAUUGAUUUCUUUGAUGGUUCUUGGCAAAAUUAGGUCUUGUAAACCUAAUUCCAAUUUGUUCCUUUGUUGAUUUUUAUUUUUUCUUCGAAGUUAUGAGUAGUUAAAACUCCUCGUGCCUAGAUUAGAUGAACCCUGGGUAAUUCCUUAUCAACAGAUGAUUGUUUGACUUUAUCGAUUUAUGUGAGUUGGGUGGAUUUUGAUUUAUGUUUAAUUUCAUUUCCGUUCUUAUUCUUGCUUGGGGGUCUUGAAUAGAACCUUGUUAGACUUUUCUUUUCUGGAAAGAGCUUGCAUAUCUAGAACACCAAAAUUAACCAACUAGGUUAAGCAUUAAAGCCUCAUCCGGGAGUGAAUAAACUAGUUCGUCGUGUGAGCAGUUCUUUGUAUUGUCGGCUAGCGGAUUUAAGUUCUUUGUCUCAAAAGAGCAGACUGGGAUAGUAGAUAGCCAACAAGUUAGCGGACCCAAAAGGGUGUAAUUUGAUUAGAGAAGAAAUGCGAUGGUAAAUUGAAUCUAUCUUGUUUUGCUUAAAUCAUUGAAUUUGCCUGUCACUUGUGAAAUUGGAUAGCCUAGGGGGACUUGAAGUCUAACCCGUUUUCUCCCAUUUGGUUCAAAUCUAAUCGUGAAGUCUUGCAGCCUUGUGUUAUUUUCCCUAUCAUUUGCAUUAUCAUAAUAAUUGAUAGGUUUAGAGAUCAUGGAACCUACACCACAAAACCUGUUUAAUUGAUUAGAACUUUUCAUAACUUUGAGUAGACAAGAUAGUGAGACCCUAGGGAAAUUCGAGUCUAAUUAAUUCGUUAAAUACGUUUAUUUGGGGACGAGUAAAAACCGUUCAUCAAAUUGUCGCUAUUGUCAGGGACUUCUUUGUUGUGUUUGAAAGGAGUUACUUUAGUGUUAAUCAUUCAUUCAUUGUACAUUUCAUCUUUUUUUUGUAUUCUAUUUUGCUAGUUUCACCUUGAUAGUUUUUUUUGAGAGAUCAUGCAGGACUAUAAAGGAUACCACAAGAGGUUGAGUCACAACUAGCAUCAAUCAUCACAAUCUUGGGAUGAGAAUUCUUAUUUGCCUUCAAAUUACGAAAAGCCUGCAUGGAGCUAUCAACCUCCUCGAUGUUAUGAAGAGCUAUCAUCACAACAUCAGUAUAUUCAAGACACGACCGUUAAAAGCAUGUUGGAGUGUAAGGAAAUGCUUGUUGCCGAGGAAGACACGAUGACGAGCAUGGAUGCCAGAGAGGAGAUUAUUUCAAGGAUGGAGUUCUCCACUAGCAUCCUCCAUGAUAAGGAUGACGUGCUCGACAAUGAUGAGGACAUUCAGGAUAUGAUCAGUAUUACAAGAAACUUGGUGGUGAUAGAGGAAGAAGAUGAACUCAACCUGGAAAAUUUAGCCAAUAGUGUGAAAAAGCUAGAAGAUCCUCAAUGGGAUGGGAGUGAAUUCUGUUUCAAAUUACUAUAAGAUGAAGCCGAAUAUCUAUAAAAUACACCAAUUGUUACUGAAGUUAACACUAUAUGUGAUGGUGAACUUUGAAAAUGGGAAUGGGAUGGGUCUUUUUCAAGCUUUUGGGAUGACAAUGAAGAUAUGUGGGAACAAGGCAUUGAAGAAAUUCAAGCUGUCUGUGAUGUAGAGCUAGAAGAAUCUGAAGAGGAUGAUAAAGAAUAUCUCAUCGAGGCAUUGUGGUAGGAUGAAUCUCAUAUUCCAACUUCGGUAAUAGAAACUAUAAAGUGCUCCAUCUACAAUGACAUCUUAGAGAUUGUGGUUCCACCAAAAGACACAGAGACUCUUCAAAAUUCUUGUUAAGUCACGAAAUUCUUGUGUCAGGAAACUGAUCGGAAGCGUCUUAACACCUAGGUUGCAGAGGUCGUAGAAGAUGAACCAAUCACGCUCAAAUCUAAAGACCUUUCAAGUGGCAUUACUAGUUUGAAGAAGGUUGAAGUUGUUGGUGGUGAUUCACCUUUCUACCUCUUCCCUCCUUAAGUGUAUAUAUUCAAAAGGAGAUGGUCAUUAUGGGGUGACAAAAGGUUUUCGAGAACAGUUCACUGGUUAUUCUAUCAUCUACUUUAACUAUUGCUCUACACUAAACUUUUCACCAUGAAAAAACCCAUUGCAUUUAAAGAGGUGCUUAAAUGGAUUUCAUAACCAUCCAGGUAUCGUCUAGCUCAAAGAUGUUAAAGAAAGAGCGCUUCUUGGGAGGUAUCUCAAGUCUGGAGUCAGUUUUAAUUUUUCAAUCUAGAGUAAGUCUGCAUGUGUGUAGGUUUCAUCAUUCACCUUAGGAUUUUUUCUUUCUUUCUUUUUGGAUCUUAAAUCUAUUUUAUUAUGUAUGGGACUUGGACACUUGACAUAGUCCCUUUUUAUUUUUAUUUUUGGUUUUGUGUGUUUGAGUCUUUUUCAGGAGUUAGUGUCACCACCGAGUUUGACUUCAUGGAUCAUGCCUCUUGCCUCUCCGGUUUCUCACAACUUCCAGGUAUUCCCAUGCAACUUUUCUGUUUCGUUCAGUUGGACACUGUCCAAACUAAGUGUGGGGUGGGUUUGCAUAUGAUUCUCGUUAGCUAGUUUUAUUAGGUUGUUAUCUUUGAAUAUGAGUCCUAAACUCAAGCUUUUUGAAACCAUCUUUGCAUCAGUUACUUAGCAUGCUUAGAAAACUACCCUGUGAUUUGUGCACUUGAAUUGUUGAUUUACUUGUGAACCUAGAUUUGAUAGGAGUUUAAGGCUAUGAUCAAAGUCUAAUCAUUCAUUCUUUAGAGUUACUUUGAUGUGUUAUAUUAGCACAAACUCUCCAACUUGAUAUGACCGUGCAUACAUGUUAUCGAAUUACCAUAUAGAAAGACAAUGCAAGGCCUAAAACACUAUUUUGUAGUAUAGAUAAUCUGCUCCACUAGUAGAUUGGUACGUAAAUUGAUUUGAGUGGUCUCCUCUGGUGGCGGUUAAUCCGACACUUGGAUUAUACCGAACUGAAUUCAUUCGACACUAAUUUACUAGAAUGAUAGAGGCAUUCAUAAAAUUUCCACACAAAAAAAUCCACCAUGUCCCUUAAUCUUCCCCUCGGUAACCCAAACAUAGUCAAAUGGUUUGUUUCAUGUCCCCCAUAAUAUCGUAUCCUCUUUCUUUCAGUCCUUCAUUUGAUAUGUGUACAUAAGUGGCAUAUAACUCGAUCGAGUCUAGGAGUCAAUAAACUUGCUAAGUCGAGUAAUUGCAAGAUUAUCUAGCCUCCCUAAGUAGUAGUUUGUGUACAAUUUUUGGUUAUUCGGAAAAGUAGAAAAUCUCGACAAAAGGGAGAAUACAAGCAAAAAUACCCAAUCUCGGAGAUACAAGCUAAUGAAAAAGAAAAAGAAACUGUAGUACAUUAGUUGAAUGAAUGAGCAUACAAGCUUGGAGAAGUAGUUUAAAUAAGGGAUAGAAGAGAUAGUUUGAGCUCAUGUAAAAAGCUAGAUCCUUGCAUACUUUUGGUUGUGUUAGUAGCAUAGCUCCAUGUGAGAGUAGACUGAGUCAUCCAUCGCUGUCUACACCCACCACCAAAUUCAUUUCACCUUAUCUUCUCUUUUCUGUCCAUAUUACAACCCAAAUAAAAGACCUCUGACUAGUGUUUGAUGCGCCUUGAUGUGAUGAGUAAAAGAAGGUUGAUAUGCAAGUGUUGGAAGCGCACCUCAGAAUUGAUGAUGAAUGCAUCAACAAUGUCCCUAAACACUAGAGUGAGUGCUUUCAGCUCAAUAUUUAAGUCAAAUCUCUUGAGAUUAAGUCUAGAUGGGUGGUAUAACAUGCGUGAUAAUGUGUGACAAGUUUGGGAAUUUCUUGUGAGGCUUUUACUUCCUAUCUCGGUUUGUUUAGAGGUUUCGUUGUAUGUUAAGCAAUUCAGUGGUGCAUUGAGGAAUAUGAGUUUGCUUUGCCAUGUUAGUGGUUUGAUUCGCUUGUAGGUGUGUUCCGCGGCUUUUAUUAGCUUUUUGCUUGAGGACAACCAAAGCUUAAGCGUGAGGUUAUUUGAUGACGCUAGAUUUUUCACAUAUAUCGCCUUCAUUUAAGUGAUAUUUCAUACAUAAUUGUAUUAUUUUAGGUAUAUUUUGAGGACAAUUUAUGCAUUUUAAGAUUUUAUCUUCGUUUAGUGUCUCGGAUUCGGUCGGGGUCCAUUUGAUGUCGUUUUGCAGGGGUUUUGAUAUAUUUUAGGUACAUGACAACAUAAAGGCAUUAAUGCAUGGAUGAUCUAAGACAAGCAAUGAGAAGAAAUUCAACAUCUUCAAGGAGCGUGGAUCUCUACUUGGUUGGAAAAUGUCACAGUACCGUAUUUUGGACAUAUGUUAUAGCUCAGAAGUCCAAUUGAUGCAAGGUUGGCCGCGUUGGAAAGUUUCUUCAAUUUCCUGCAACUUUGGUUCUGGAAGUUUGGCACAGUAUGAACCUAAAAAUGUCACACUAUGCGCCUAUGUUAAGGCGCAUUGAGUGAAGGCUUGGGCACAUGGAUUCUCUAGAAGUUUGUCACACAAUGCGCCUAAAGAUGUCACAUUAUGUGCCUAAAACAUACUAGUUAAGGCACAUAGUGUGACAGCAGACAUGAACAAGGGUUUCUACUCCUAUUUAAAGGCCUUUCACCCCUGAUUCAAAGAAAAAAAAAUUCGGACGAAAAUUAGGGUGAAAUUCAGAGACUUCAGAGCACCGAGAAGGCAUCAACUUUAUGGAGCUCGGACGGAUUGAUUUCUUUGAUGGUUCUCGGCAAACUUAGGUUUUUAGGAUUUCUUCUUGUCAACCUAAUUCUAAUGUGUUCCUUUUUUUUAUUCUUAUUUGGUCUUCAAAGUUAUAAGUAGAUAACACUCCUCGUGCUUAGAUUAAGUGAACCCUAGGUAAUUCCGUACGAGUAGAUGAUUAUUUGACUUUGACGAUUUAUGUGAGUUGGGUUGAUUUUGAUUUAUGUUUAAUUUUGUUUAUGUUCUUAUUCUUACUUGGACGUCUUGUAUAGAACCUUGUUAGAUUUGUCUUUGUAUCGAAAGAGCUUACAUAUCUAGAACACCAAAAUUAACCAACCAGGAUAAGUAUAAAACUCUCAACCGGGAGCAAAUAAACUAGUAUGUCGUGUGAGCAGUUCUUGUUUGUUUUGUCGCCUAGCGGAUUUCAGAUAUUUUUCUUGAAAGAGCGGAUUGGGAUAGUAGAUAGGUAACCAAUUAGCGGACCCAAAAGGGCAUGAUUUGACUAGAGAAGAACUGCGACGGUAAAUUGAAUCUAUCUUGUUUUGCUUAAAUCGUUGAAUUUUUCUAUCGCUUGUGAAAUUGGAUAGCCUAGGAGGAUUCGAUGUCUUAGCCAUUUUCUCCUAUUUGCUUCAAACAUCAUAUCAUGCAGUCUUGCGGCGUUGUGUCGUUUUCCGUAUAAUUUUCAUUAUUGGAAUAAUGGAUAGUUUUAGUAGGAUUUGAACUCUAACCCUACACCACAAAACCUGUUUAAUUGAUUAGAACUUUUCAUAACUUGAAGUAGACAGGACAUUGAGACCCUAGGGAAAUUGGAGUUUAAUUCAUUCAUUAACUACGUUCAUUUUGAGAUGAGUAAAAAUCAUUCAUCACUACUAGAUCCACUGUCAUCACUAGAAGAAGAGUGUGAUGUCGUACCAGACUUGCGUGCCGAAGCUGUAGGCAUUGGCCCAUCUUGGUUACUCCCACCCUACUAUGAGUGUUGAGAUGAUGGUUGUGUAAACUCUGUUUGGAAGCAACCCAUCAAGCUUUUUUCAUAAUCAUAAUAUAACAAACCCUAAUAAAGUAAUAACAGUAUACUAAAACAAAACUUAGGUAAAAAUUGACUACCAACGCUUUUGACUUUGCCAAAAAACUCUUGGACCCAGAAGUGUGGUAAAUUUUUUGUUUCCGGCGAUUCGCAAUGUUCUUGGAUGAAUAAGUCUAAAAACAACAAAUAAAUAUCGAACAAGCUAAACAACUAACUCCAUAUUAUAACUAAAACAAUGUAAAAUACAAAGAUUCGUACCUAAAUUUCCUUUCCCAAAUUAUAGUUGAUGAAAUUCUCCCAUUGACUCAGAUUGACAUUUUUUGGUAUACUCUUUUAGUUUUCCUCAUUUGUACCCUCCUUAUCGCACUUUUAUCCUAAAUGUUUUGGCAAUCUUCCCUCCACUUCUUCGCAAGGUCCCUCAUAAUGUACUUGCGAAUAGUUUUGUCAUCAGCAUCAUUCCAAUAGAAUUUUCGCUACAACAUGAUUAGGUAGGUACUUAGAAUUAUUAGCAAUCUAUAACAUCUAACAUUAUGUAGGUAUGUUUACUAAUGAACUAUAGACUUACUUGUAUGAAAUUCUUGAAAAUGUGAUCCUUCUCCACUUUGGUGACCUUAUGCCAGUUUUUUGCACCGUUAUCGAAUUUUAAUUACAACUAUCCAUUCUUAUAAGUUGUCUAGCUCAUUCAUAUGUACAAAUUUUGCACACAGCUGUUUUAACCAUGAACAAAACUUAACUAACACGAAACACACAUGAGUAGGUAAUACAUUAAUUCGAAUGGCCAAUGGUAAAAGUUCAUGCAUCAGUGACAGUCAUGAGUUUUCAAUCCUAUUACCUUUCAAUGUUCCACAUCAACACAUCUGGAUAUACGACCUGAAUAUCCAUCGGGUACGACAAUAUCCUUUCAAGUCUUAAGCAUAACAUCUAUUUCUUGCUUGCCCAAGGUAUACAAAGUAGCAAGACAUAUCUUCCCAUCAUCUUUUUGCUAGUGUCCUUUGCUAAUUCCCGUAGCCUUUCAAAUCAAAUCAUGCUUUCAGAUGAUCUUUGCUUUGAGCCUUCUCAUUUAGCAGAGUAUAUUAUAUACUUUUUUCAAUAUGCAUAACAUACAGAUUGUGUCGAAGCAAAUUGAACUCCUAAUAAGGUAAUUGGAAGAAGCAAUUUUUCUUCUCCUAUUGUUCAACUUUUUUCUUUCCUCCAAUGUUUUCACUUUCAAGUGCUCUCUUCUUUUUAAGAAGUUCAACCUUUUUGGUUUCUUUCUCCUUCCCAAAUGUGGUAGUAACAUUUUUACUUGCUUUACUAUUUCAGAUCCUAAUAAUAGUUGUGGUGGUCCCAUUUGCUUAACUCUAUCAUUAAAUCUGGAUUUUUGAUGUCGAAAGCGAUGUCCCAUGGCAAGAAUCAUCUACUGCCAAUAAAACUACUACAACAACAAAUGUAAUAAGUUGCCGGCUAUUAGAAGUAGGGAAUUGGUCCUGCGCCCGGCUAUGUCGUAGGCGUAGCUGACUUUGUUGCCGUUACUGGUGCCUGUGACAAGCUCAUCACAGGCCGAGUGCGACGAGGAAAUGACUGUGACAACCCGUCGCGGCCCAACGACGAGUAACCAAAGCCUUGUACAAAGCUAGUUGUAGGCGCCCGCGACAAAGCCCCUUGCCCGCGAUAAAUUGUUUGGUGCGAACGCAAUAAACUUUGUCGCAAGCCACCUGCGACAAAUACUGUCCGGCGACAAAGCUUUCUCGCAAACGGCCUGCGACAAAGCUAGAGCCUGCGACUAAGUUCUCGAAUGACUACCCUUCAGCCGAACCUCCCAACUCACUCUUUCAAUUUAUCGUGCCCUCCUCUCCAAAAAAUCCUCUCAUUCUGUCCAAAAAUCCUCUCAGAUUUCUCCUUUUGUCUCUGAUCGUCACUGUCGCCAUCAUUCUUUGGUCGGAAAUUUCCAAUGUCACUUAUUUUGUGCAAAGGCAAAAUCCAAGAACUAUUGCACCCCGUCAAUGUUCCGAGGGCUGGUAUGAGGCAAACUCAACCAAGAGUUAUCCAUCUAAACAAUCAGUGUACCUAAGUAAUAUUUUAUGAUAAUUAUCAUCACAAUAUUACAAUAUUAAAUAUUCACUAGAUUCGAGUUGUUGUAAGCCACAAAGUGGACACACACAGACGAUGGAAGGCGGGGAAGGGACCUUUGGUCAUCGUCGACGAGUUGAACGCCAGCAAGAAGAAUGGGCGGCAACAACGCCAGAGAAAUGAGAUGGCGCCGGAGAAAAAGAGAGGAGAAGAGAAAAAAAGAGGAGAAAUGGAGAAUCACAAAUUCUGCUAGCUGGAGGUCAAGUAUAUUAUCAUAUACUUAUAUUUAAAUAACAAUUUUUUUAGUGAAGCCAUGCUAAAGACUUGAUAUUUACUAAAUAUAAUUCCUAACAUUAUAACAAAUCCCAUAUGAACUUUGGCAUAAAGAAAAGCCAAACUUAAGUUAGCUUCAAGUUUGGGGCGGUAGAAUUGUCAAAUUAAUCUGGAAAGUGCACAAUUUUUGAAUUCUCCUCAUUUUUUGAUUUCGUCUUCCAUGAAACAUAAAAAGGGACAAAACAUUUACCUUAAUUAAUUAGAUUAUCUUUAACAGUAUCAUUUGUUGGGCAUGUGCUGGCCAUCUUUUUGUCUCACUUAUUUUCGCACGUGCAGUAAUAAUACUGCAAAUCACAACCAAAUAUCAACAGACCACGCCAUAAAAUCCAAUCACCAAGUUGAGCCUCAGGAAACAAACUCAGAUCAAUGACUAAUAAAAAUUGGUGGGUAGUUCCUAUAAAGUAUUUGGGCCAUGUAUGAUUAAAAUAAUUGAUUUUAAGUUAUUUUAAAUAUUUCAUUAAAAUCAUUUGUUUAAAAAUCAAAAUAAAAUAUAUAGUAUUUCGAAAUGUGAUAUUUAUAAUAAUUUAUUUUUUUAGUUAUUUUAAAUACUUUUUCACCAUUUAGAUAUUUGAAAUAUUUUAUUAUUUCAAAAGUGUAAUAUUUCCAUUACCAAAUAUCAUAUUAAAUAAUUCAUUAAUCAAACAAAAUAAUUCUAUUUCACUUUUCACCUCAUAAAUAUUACAUUCUCAAAUAACUUAUCAGUUUAUUCCAAAAUACUACAUAUUCAAAAUACCUUAUUCAAACGACCCGCUAAUAUUAUCGUUUCGAAUCACCCAACCAACUAGCUCAUCAUAAUUACUGGCCUUUAUUAUUAGAUGUACUGAAAAUUGGGUCCGCUUUAAUUUAUUACAAAUCCAAAGCCCCACAAAACCCAACUUUGUUAUUACAAAUCAACCACGCGCCAACUUAAUUACUAUCCUUCCACGAUUGGGAGUACAGAAACCCAACUCCGUCCGACCAAUCAAAACGUUGACCUCUUAAGCGAAGUCAAGGUUAUUGAAGCACCCAGCGACGACGUUCCCACCUCAAUAUCAAACGAGUCGUACCUCUUAAACAGCUCCACCACAAACAGCCUUGCCGCCAUCACCACGAAAUCCUUCCCUGCGCACUGCUUGUUCGCCACGCUCGGCGUCUCCGUCUCCGGCCCGUUCGACCACAUCACGUACUCCAUCAGCUUCACCCCUUCCCCGACGAACCGGUCCGCCACGAACUCCUCGGGUCGGUCAAAUAUCUUCGGGUCUUUUGUCGCGAACGGUUGGUAUCCGAACAGCAUCUCCCCUUCUUUCACCUGGUACGCCGCCUCGUGGCUUUCCAGUAUGAAAUCCUUCUUCGCCUUCCCGUACUGCAGCGCAACCGGCGGCUCGAUACGCAGCGUUUCGUACACCACAGACUUCAUCAGCGGCAUCUGUUCCAUCGCCGCCAUCGUAACUUUCCCUCCGCCCGUCGAUUGGAUUGCGGAUCUGAUUUCUUGUGCCAGCUUGGUGUGGAGCUCCAAUCCUGCCCGCCCGAUCCACUUCAUCAGGCUUGGGAACAGGAUCUUGAACCCUCCCCAUGAGUUGAAACACACGGCGAAGAGGAUGUUAUGGCAAGCUUCGUCCCGCGAGAUCCCGGACUGUUCGGCCUCGUCAAGCACAGAUCCGGCGGCGGAGGUGAAGAAUUCGUAGAGACGGUGGUAAUCGUUCUUGAUGAGCAACGGCGGGAGGCGGACGGAGUGGAGAGUGGCUUCCUCAACCUCUUUGGGCAAACCGACGCUGAGAAUCGGAGCAAGGUUGAAGAGGACCCAUUUGGAAAUCAAGGACGGCGCGUCUUUCCCCAACGGAGUGUCGAUCGGCUUGACACCGAAGAAGGCGCGUGAGAGGAAAUUGAAAGCUGCUUGCUCGGCGGGGUCGUUGAAAGCUGCUUUCCCUUUAGUAGCCAAGUCGUAUUCAACGACCUCACAAAGGUCGGUGAAAGAGGAAGAGAAUUCGGGAAUGACGUAAUCGCGGCGGGGGGGUAUGAGAUUGAAAAGGAGUUGCUUGAGCUUGGUGUGAUUGGGCUCGGAGGGGUCGAGGUAGGAGAGGAUACGGUAACCGCCGGGGAGCGCAGGAGAGGAUACGGUAACCGCCGGUGAGCUCAGUAGAGGGCAUGUAAGUUCCAGUGAAGAGAUCCUUCUUCUCGACUUUGGACAUGUCGAAGAGUACAGGAAAGCUCUUGGCGUCGAGGAGGACGAUGACACGAGGAUUGGAAGCGAUGAAUGGGCCAGGAGGCAUGUUGGCUCUGUAGACGGUUGACUUGUAUUUCUGGAGCCUUGACUUGAAGAAUUCUUCGCGGCCUUGGUUGUAGAAGUAAUCGAGACGAUCUUGGAUAGGUCCAAUUCCAGGGAGACCGUAGUCUCCAGGAAUCUGGCGGAUAGGGAGAGUGGUUUCAUCGGAGGAGGAAGGAGGGAGGAGGGGGCUGGCUGGUGAUCCCUGGGAUUUUGAUAGGAGAGUCACCGAAGAGAGAGGCUUUAAUGGGACGGAAGGCGGAGACUCUGCGGAGGUUGGAGAAAGUGUUUGGUAGUGGUGUUGAUUUUGGUGAUGGGGAGAGUGUGUUUGGGUUGACGGCCACCAAGUUGUUGAGAGCAGAGGAAGCCAUUAUUUUGUUAAUGUUUGAGUGUUGUUGGUACAGUACUAGAAAGGUAUUUUAAUUGGAAAAAGUUGGCAAGGAGGGAAAAUGAGUUUUUGGAGGUGGUGGAGAUUCAUGGUCAGCAAAUUGUCAGUCUUUUUAUAGUAAACUUUUCGCUAGUGGUGGGACCAACUAUU
rnacentral:lncRNA from 1 species